AAAAUAAAAAAUAUUGCUUUCUACUAUAACAAAAUAAUAUAAUAUAUUAUUACAUAUUAUUAAUUUAUUUAUAAAUAUAAAAACCUAAUUUAAAUAUUUUAAUAUAUUUUAAAUUUAAUUAAAAAUUUUAAAUGUAUUUAGAUUUUUAUAUAAUAUAGAACUAGGCUAGAAUAAUAUUAAUAGCAUCAAGUCAUUAAUGUUAUUAGGUUUUCGGCCCUUGGGGCGCGUUUGGUUCGCACUAUGAAAGAUUACUAGGAGUAAAUAGAUAUCCGAGAAUCUUAUUCUUAUUCAUCCUAUUACUAAGAAUGUAGCAUUUCGGUGUUUGGUUCGUACAGCCAUGUUAUCUAAGAUUAUGAAAAAUAUACAAUUAAUUUAUUUAUUUUUUUAAUUAAUUUUAAAUAAUACUAUUAAAAAUUUCAAAAUCUUUUUAGAAAAGAGAGAGAGAAUAUAUGUUAGAAAGAGAGAGCAUAAUUAAAGAAAUAGGAAGAGAAAUAGAGUCGAGGUUAGAGAGAAUGAGAGAGUUGAGAUUUUAGAAAAAGAGGGGGAGAAAUAGCUUAGUUUAGAGAGAGAAAAAGAGUUGAAGUUUAGAAAGAAAAAGAUAAGUUUAGAAAAAGAUAUGAGGUUAGAGUGUAAAUAAAAAUAAUACCAACUAGCCGGCGGGUGGAAAGAAAGAAAUAAAUUAGACAUAUUAUAUUUACCCCAAUCCAUUAAUAUAAGGAUACCCACUCUCCCUCAAAGGAAUGAGAUUAGUACUUUAGGAUGAAUCUCAUUCCCAAGUAAAUCCAGUAUUAUCAACUAGAUUUUUUAUAUUUUUUUUUAUUCCUAUUGGAUUACUAUAAAUCUUAAAAAGAUAGCACGAACCAAACUCAUCCUUAGAUUAAGGAAUGUAUGGUUAGAAUGAUAACGGUCUCCUAAGUUAGUGUUUAGUUGAGGGAUAAAGUAGGAAUAGACCACUUUGUCCCUCUAAUUCAUCCAAACACUAGAGAAAGGAAUGGAUUUAUUUAAUCUCUCUCUUAACAAGUUAUUCUAGAAUAACCUAUUAAGAGGGAAAAUUGUUAUUCUACUCUUUUGGUGGAAUAACAAUUUCUUUUCUUUAUACCUCUACUAAUUUAAUAAUAAUAUAUUAUUAAUUAAUAUCUUAUAUAUUGUUUUAUUAAUUAAAUAGCUAAAUUAAUAAUUAACUAAUUUAAUAAUAAAAUAUUAGUUAAAUUAAUAAUUAUUUAAUGUGUUUAUUUAAUAACUAAUAUCUAUAUUGACUAAUCAAUUAAUAUUUUGACCAAUAUAACUAAUUAAAUAGAAGUGCUUAAUUAAUUUUUUUAUUUUAUUAAUAAAUUAAUUUAUUAGCUUAAUUUGUUAACUUAUCAAAUUAUUUAUAGUUAAUUAAUUUAUUAACUAACCGUACUCAUGAUUAAUUAAUUAAUAAUUAAUUAAUGUCCUAAUUAAUUUAUUAAUUAAUAUUUUAUGAGUAUCUAAUAAUAUUCAUGAUAAAUUUAUUAAUUAAUUUAUUAAAUAUCAUUUACUUAAAAUUUUGUUGUUAAUUAAUUAUAUACAAUAUUAUUAUUUAACUACUAUAAUUACUCUUAUUCUUAUUAUUCCUAUCUAACUACCAAAACACUAUUUUUCUUAUUUUAAAAAGUAACUCAUUUUUUAUUCAAACAUAAAAUUGAUCAUGUUUUCGUUUAUCUCCGAAGUUGUAUCUAUUCCAGGAAUAACCAAAAAUAAUUGUUUUCGAAUCAGACGAUACCCUAGAAUUUAGUAGAUAGCUGAUAGAGUAAUAUGAUCUAAGGGGUGAAAAUGAUCAAAGAGAUAAAUUUAACAGCAGAAAACUUGGUGGCACCAAGUGCUCGGGGCUAUUGAUAGUAUUGUAGUUAGACUCAUAUAUUAGUUAAAUAAUAUUUGAUUGUUAUAUAUUUUUAGUGACUUGAAAAAUUAUAUUCAAUACUUUGACAUUUACAAAAAAAUUAGCUUAAUAAUUAGUUUAUUUUUAAAAAAAUUUCAGGGUGUCUGUGGUAAUGAGGACUGGGAAGUGCCUCAUCCCUGCUAUGCUCCAUUGUCAUCCCUAGGUUGGAAUAGUUUGAUAUAUCAUAUGAUUUAGGUAAAAAUGUAUAUAACAUAUCAGAUAUAUAUAUAUGGAUCAUUUUGAGACAACUAUUCAGUCUUUCAAAUUUUUAUUUUUUUUAAUAUUUGAUUUAAGUUAGGCAACAUGUGACGAGACAAAAAUUCAAUAUUUCAAUAUUUUAUUUUUUUUAAAAUAUUUGAUUUAAGUUAGGCAACGUGUGUGACAUUCCAACUUUCCACUGGGUCACCCAUCCUAGAACUACUUCCGUCCUAACAUGCUUAACUUUCUUAAGUUCUUGGGCUUUGCCACCACCCAAAAUGAUUAAGUCGGAUUAAGAGUUUUAGCCUUAUUAUAUUUUAUAUAUAGGAUUAUUCGGGAUCUCACAUUUUUCUGCUUUUAAGCAUUAACGUUCUUGUCAGGCUCAGACUUACAAGUAUCAAGCGAUGUGAGACUCGUCUUGCUAGUCUUGUCAUUCCGACUCUGAAACAAUCAAAAGUCAUCUCACACUUUCGGCUGGUAAUUGGCUCUUAUACCAACUGUGACGUCCCAACUUUUCAGGAGUUAUCCAUCCAAGGACUACUCCCGUCCUAGCAUGUUUAACUUUUUUAACCUCUUGGGUCUAGCCACAGCCCAAAAUACUUAAGUCGGACUAAGAGUUUUAGCUAUAUUAUAUCUUAUAUAUAGAACUAUUCGGAGUCUCACACAACGACACAUUGACUUUAAAGUUUCAGUUAAUUAUUUUAAAUAAUAAAUUUACAGUUGCAAAAAUUACAUAAAGUAUACUUAUUAAAUUUAUAAAAUAAAUAACAUAAUUAAAUUUUGAAGCCAUAGUGCAGUUAAAGGUUUUGGCAGUUGACGAAGUCUUCGUUUGGGAUUGCGGGAAGAUUGCGUUACGUGCCGUGAGAAAGUACGUAGGAAAAAUAUCCUGUUUAUUUUCGUACGUAAUAUUGUCUUCCGCAUAUCGCGAUGAGUCGGUUACGAUGUAUUUUCUGCGGUCCCACCGGAGAACGCAAAAGCAUAUCCAUAUUUGCUUUUUCCUCAACUCCAUUUUUUCUAAUAGCGUUAGAUAGACUUCAAUACCAAACUAAGCCUAAAAAUGGUUCAUAAUUUAGAUAACUUAUGUGCGUUCUAACAUGUAAUUUAUUUUGUAUUCAAAUUUAAUAUUCUAUUUUAAUUUGAAAAUUGGUAGUUGACUAAAAAUGGUUCAUAAUUUAGAUAACUUAUGUGCGUUCUUAUGUGUAAUUUAUUUGGUAUUCAAAUUUAAUAUUCUAUUUUAAUUUGAAAAUUUUCUAUCUGAAUUUUAAUACCGUAUCAGAUGAUAGAUUUAAAGAUAGUCCAAAUUUUUGUUUUUCCGAAAAAAGAAAGAGCUAGCUUACACUCAAGGUGUUGGUGAACUUUGGCUAUAAUUUUUACUAUUAUUUAUUUUAGUUUAAAAUGUAAAGAGACUUUCUGAACUUUGGCUACUUUUAUAAAUAGAUGAGUGAACUUUUAAUUUAAUAAUUAUAUUAUCUAAACUUUAUGAAAUAAUUUAAUAGACUCCUCUCUUUAAUUAUCAAUUAAAAUUAUUAAUCACACAAUCAUUUUGAUAGUUUGUAUUGCUUAUAGUUUUAUAAAGCUUUAAAAUACAAACAAAUUUAUUUCUUAUAUUCUAAUACGUAAAAGAAGCAAUAAAAUAUGAAGUUUAAUUCAACUCAUCCUUCGCUCAUCAUAUUUAGUUAACAACAUUGAAAGCGAAAAAUAUGCAUAUUUAUAUUUUGAAGCAUUAAAAAACUAUAUAUAUGAAAUUCGAUUAAAAAGGGAGGUGAUUCAUUUUUAGUUNAAGUGAGAGAGAGUAUAAGUUAGAGAGAGAGAGAGCAUAAUUAAAAAAAUAGAAAGAAAAAUAUAGUCGAAAUUAGAGGGAGUGAGAGAGUUGAAAUUUUAGAAAGAGAGAGAGAGAGAAAGCUUAGUUUAGAGAGAGAAAAAAAAGUUAAAUUUUAGAGAGAAAAAUAAGUUUAGAGAGAGAUAUAAUGUUAGAGUGUAAAGAAAAAUAAUAUCAAUUAGCCGGCGGGUAGGAAGAAAGAAAGAGAUUAGACAUAUUAUGAUUAUUUAAAUCCAUUAAUAUGAGGAUACCCACCCUCCCUCAAGGGAAUGAGAUUAGUAUUUUAAGGUGAAUCUUAUUCCCAAGUGAAUCAAAUAUUACCAACUGGAUUACUUAGUGCGUUUAGCCAAACACCGUCAUAUUUUUUUAUUCCUAUUGGAUUACUAGAAAUCUUUAAAAGAUAGCGCGAACCAAACGCACCCUUAUAUUAAUGUUUUACCUACCAUAGCUUUAGUCAUGUUAUUUUAUACUUAUUAUUGUUUUGAAAUUGCUAUGUAUUUAUUUGCCUCAUGUGAAUGGUAAGUCAAAUAUAAAUUUAUAAUUAUUAAUCAUGUAUAAAAACUAAAAAUUUUAAGAGAAUUUCAUAUAUCCAUUUGCUGAACAUAAAAUAUAAAACUCUUUUCGCUUCCAACAUCACAACUGUGAGUAAAACUAAGAAUAAAGUUCUGCAACUUUUAAUUGAAAGAUUUUUUCUAAAAAAAAAGAACACACAAAGCAUGCUUUACUUUAUAAUCUCCAAUGGUUUACACAUUCUAAUUUCUAUUUUAUAUCAUGUUUUUUUCAUAAUAGUAACAGUUUAAAUAUUAAAAUAAAAAAUAAAAAAUUAAAAACUAAAAUUUGAAUUUCAAAAUUUUAAAUAUAAAUUGUUUUAAAAAAUUUUAAAUUCAGAUUUAAACUUAAAAUUACAAAUUUUGAUUCAAAUUUUAAUUUUAAAUUUAAAAUUUUGAAGUAAAGGUCAGCAAAAAAAAAAUAGCAAACACCAAAGCCUUAUAAAACUAUUUUAAAAAAUCAAUUUUCUACUUGAGCUUUAAUUAAUUAAUUUUUAAAUAAAAAUUAAUUCUACAAAAUUUAUAUAUAUUUUUUGUUUACGAGUCGGCUUCUGUUUGGCUCGAAAUGAGCUCGAGAUCGAAUCGCUUAUUUAGUAAACGAGCCGUACACGAGUUGAAUUUUUCAGCUCGUUUAAUAAAUGAGCCGAACAUGUACUAGGAUCAGCUCGGUCAUGUUUGACUCGAUUACAGCUCGAAUAUAUAUAUUUUAUAUUUAUAUAAUUUAUUUACUUUAUAUUUAUAUAUAAAAAUAAAUAAUUUUAUAUAUAAUAUAUAUAUUAUUAUUAUUUAAUUUUAGUCCAAAAAAAUAUAAAGCGGAGAUCAAAUAUAAAAUGACUUAUUUAUAUGUAAAUUUUCUACCAUUAAAUCAAAGUUUAAUAGGUAAGAUUUUAUAUAUUUAUUUUUUAUUUAUAUAUAUAAUCUAAUCUAUUUAAUUUAUUUUUUUGUUGGUCAGCUCGUGAGCCUGCUUUUGUUCGACUUGUUUAUUAACAAGCGGAGGAACACGAGGUGAAUUUUUCGGCUCGAUACUUUAAGGACUUAAUUAUAACAAUUAAAAAGUUGUGGACUAGAUUGAAACCCUGGGCCAAAGGUUGAGGAUCUACUAUCUAAGGACUAAAUUGAAACAUUCGUAAAAAGCCAGGACCUCCCAUGUAAUUAACCCCUUAAAUAGCUUCCUUCGGAAUUUCCACGACCCCUGCUUCCGUUCUCUCCGCCCAAAAUCCCCAAACCCUAAUUGUAGGGUUUUACCCCGCGACGCCAUGGACGUGGACAUGGAUACACGGAGAUCCCAAACCCCCGAGGAGACGGCCGACACCUUCGAAGACCUCGCCGGCGCCGACGACGACGACCUCGGCUCCGCCGUCCUCGUCCGCCACCAGAGCUCCCCGCGCGAGGACCACCAGCAUCUCUGCGCCGCCGUGGGCGCCAUGGCCCAAACCCUAAAGGACCAGAGGAUCCCCCUCACCCCCGUCGCCUACUUCGGCGCCACCGCCGCCUCCCUCGACCGCCUCUCCCGCGACCCCUCCGCCGCCGCCGCCUCGGAUCCCGUCACCACCGCCCUCCUCACCUUCCUCUCCUCCGUGCUCCCCAGGGUCUCCGCUGCUGUGUUGAGGAGCAAGGGGCCCUCGGUUGCCGAAUCCGUGGUCCGGAUUUUAGGGUUCCGGUCGCUGCCGGAUGGCGGCGUGAAGAGUGGAUUGAAGUGCAUUGCUCAUUUGAUCGCGUUUGGGGAUAAGUCGAAUUGGUCGAGGUUAUCCCCUUAUUAUGGAGUACUUCUUGGCUUCGUGACGGAUCACCGGCCGAAGGUAAUGCAAUAAUUUAGUUUCUCUCUUACAUUGUAUUUAAUUAGUAUAUACUUUAUCCUCAAGAAAUGUGCUAUAUUGCAUCAGAUUUUUCUACUGUGUACAUCUUUCAAAUGUAGCACACUUGAAAUUCCCUUUACUUUACCCCCUGUUUAGUUGCCUCAAAUCCUAGAAUUCUAAAGAAAUAAAAUUCCCAUUUUGCUAAAUCCAUUGUUUGGUAUCAUAAGUUGAUAGGAAUUCAAUUCAUUCGCAAGGAUUUGGUGGAAUGAUUUGAUGUCUGAUUUGGUGAGAAUUCAUUUACUAUUUGUUAUACUUUAUCGAUAACGCCAAAUACCCUUUUCUUAAAUUAGUUAUGAUAUCCUUCUUACUGAAUAACUGAGGAUAAAAUGCGAAAUGUAAUUACGCUGAAAUAAUCUCUCAUUCUUUAUCGAACGAUAAAACUGAAUGGAAUUCGGUUGAACUCCAUUUUAGUUCAAACAAAAAAUUUCAUUUCUAUGUAUAUUCAGUUGAAUUCUUCUCAAAUGAAUUCCAUUGAAUUCUAUUUAGAUUUGAUGCCAAAUGAACCGUUAAUAUUGCAACCUUCCGUAAUGGGAAGGGAAUUUAAGAGAUUCAAGUCUAUUUGAGUUUCUGUAUUGUUUAGCCUUUGACGAUUUAUGACAUGGAUAUGCCGUUUAGCCAUUGUUACUUGAUUAGAGCUUGAGACAUGAGAGUUCCUUGCUGAUGGGACGUUAACGCAUCAAAAAGAUGUAUCUUUCUUUGUUCCUUCCCUUGCACUCUCUCAAAAUUAUGACUUGUCUAAGCUCAAAACUGUGUUUGCGUUUUGUGGCAUGGAUGGUUAAAUGACUACACAUCUAGUAAAAAUACUUUCUUUUCCCAUUUCUUAAUGUUGUAACUUAGAGGUCUUCUUAUUUUUUAGAUAAGAAUUUUGUAGUUUACACUUCAUUUUAGCUGAAUACUGAGAAUCCUUAGAAUAAUAAUCAUUGAAAAAGAGAUAAAUUUGACUUCCUCUUUUGGUAAGCAGAAAUAUAUCAUUCUGAUCAUAAAGCAAAAUCAGUUAAUUUAUGAGUUCAUGCAUAGGAUAUUAUGCAGUUAUAUGAAAUAUAUAUUUAAGAAUCUAAGGAAUGGUUUGUAGGUGAGAAAGCAGAGUCAUGCAUCUCUGCGGGAUGUUCUUCAGAGUUUCCAAAAGUCAGCAGUUUUGGUACCAGCAAGUGAAGUGAUCACUGAAACUUUUGAGCGAUUUCUUUUACUUGCUGGUGGGUCAAGUUCUUCAAAAACAGCUGCAUCAGAAGAAGGGCCUAGGGGGGCUUUGGAAAUCUUGCAUAUUCUGAAUGCCCUCAAGGAUUGCCUUCCUCUUAUGGCGACAAAAUCAGUCAACAUGAUCUUGGGAUACUUUAAACGGCUGUUGGAGUUGCAUCAGCCCAUUGUGACAAAAAGCAUAUUGGAGAUUUUGCAGUCUCUUUGUAACUAUCCAACAUCAGAGGGUAAUCCUGAAUUGCUGUUAGAUCUAUUAUGCUCUUUGGCAGUAUCUGCCUCUGAGGAAAAUUCGGCAGAUGAGAUGGCAUCAAUAGCACGUUUGUUGCAUGUCGGUAUGAAAAAAGUUUACUACCUGAACAAGCAAAUAUGCACUUUGAAGCUCCCAGUUAUAUUCACCGCUCUUGGAGGUUAGCUUUAAUAAUUAUUUCUGGCUAAUUCCUAAUUUUUAGCCUGUAGUACAUUUAUUUGCUGAUUUGGGCGAUGUAUCUGUUCUUUUCAUCAUUACUUUAGACAUAUUGGCAAGUGGGCAUGAGGAAGCUGUGUUUGCUGCUAUGGAGGCUUUGAAGGGUCUGAUGCAUUCUUGCAUUGACAAAAGCUUGGUUGAGCAUGGAAUUAGCCAAAUCAAGGCUAGACUACAAGGGUUAAGGGCUGCACCCACCGUUAUUGAAAAGAUUUGUGCUAUCCUUGAAAGCUUCCUCGGUUUUCAGUAUAAUGAUGUUUGGGACUUAUCAUUUCAUGUUCUUUCCUCAGGGUUUGAUAUUCUAGGUAAAUUUCAUUUUUGUUGUCUUCUUCCCCUAGCUUUCUGAAAAUUUUCUUGGUAAAUUCAGUUGAACACUCGAAUGGUAAAUUUUGGUUCUUGAAGAUUUUGUCAAUGCAGUAAGUUGUGCAAUGUUCAGCCAUUUGUGUGUAAGUAUGUGCAUUUGCAGUCUCGUGGCAACCAUAAAGGACCUUGAUGCAUUCUUAGGCAGCUUGACAGGCUUAUUUGUACCUAAAUAACCUGCCUGUGGCUUUUUACGCUGUAGCUACGUAAAAUUGGUAAUGGAUUCAAUGUUGAUAACUACUACCUAUAUAUAUAUAUAUAUAUAUAUUGAGUAUGUCUCCCGUGCUUUCGAAAGUACGGAGGCCUUCGUACUUGUAAGUUGUUUUCGAUGAUAGGACAUCCAAUUCGACGAUUGGCUCUAUUAGGCAUAAUCUAUGCUAUUGGAACUAUCAUGAAACCAAAUUUUAUAAUUUUUCGACAUCAUUUACCAAGCGAUCACAGGGUCUCAAAAAUGACUAUUUUAACUGCCGAUGUGGCACGUUUUUAAUUUCAACGGUGUAGAAGUAUCCAAAUUACAUGAAACUUUAAUAGAAAAUUCUACUUAACAACAAGAGCAAGAACAAUACUUCCGAUUUGAAAUUUGAGUCAUUUAUCACUAUUUUUUAUGAGAUUUUUAUUGUCAGCCGUUCAUUUUGAGGCUACUCGUUCACUAGGCAAACGGAGUAAAAAAAUUAUGAAAUUUGGUUUCUAGAUAGUUCUAAUAGUGUAGAUCAUGUUUAACGGAACCGAUUGCCGAAUCGGACGUCCCAUCAUUGAAAACAACUUACAAGCACGGAGGCCUCCGUAUUUUCGAAAGCAUAGGAGCCUAGCUCUAUAUAUAUAUAUAUAUAUAGAGAGAGAGAGAGAGAGAGAGAGAGAGAAUAGGGCUACUGUGCUAUUAGGAGCACGGCAGCCUUUGUGCUCCUAACUUCCUAACCAUCCAUCAAUUUUGAUGGGUUGUUAGGAUGAGAGAGAGAAGAGAAAUUAGGAGGAAACUCAAAGAAGAGAAAUUGAGACACCUAAUUUCUCCUCAAUUUCUCUUUUCUCUCUUAUCCUAACCAUCCAUCAAACUUAAUGGAUGGUUAGGAAGUUAGGAGCAUAAGGGCUACUGUGCUCCUAAUAGCAUAGUAGCCCUGCUCUCUCUCUCUCUCUCUCUCUCUCACUCUCUCUCUCUCUCUCUAUAUAUAUAUAUAUAGAAUUUGGCUGGAAUACUGUUAAUAGCACCAAGUCAUUGAUGCUAUUAGGUUUUCAUGCCUUGGAUGAAAAAAUGUGCAGUUAGAAUGAUAGUGGUUCCUGGUUAGGAUGAUAGUGCUCCCUUAGGGUUGAGUGGGUGGUUGGUUGAAUAGUAUGAUCCAACGGUUAGAAAUGAUGAAAGUGAUAAAUCUAACGGCAGAAAAUUUGGUAGCACCAAACGCUUGGUGCUAUCGAUAGUAUCCCAGCUGAAUUUUAUAUAUAUAUAUAUAUAUAUAUAUAUAUAUUUGGGUGCUUACAUCCUUCUAAAGAUACGUUUUACUAGAAUACUAGAUACUUUUACAAGAUUUUUGUUAUUUGACAUCUCAAUAGCUUAGUGUUAUAUAGUUCCACAUCAAAUAUCUAAUUAUCUGUACUAGUGCAUUGUUUUCUUUAGUCUUUCCAUUGGUUUCUUUUCCAUGUAUGCAUAUUUUCACAUAGUAAAAUACAAGUAUUUUUGAAAUAUGUUACCUUAGCUUACUAUGUGCACUUGGUGCCCACAUGCUGCAACUACCCUUCAGGAUGUUGGUUAAGUAAUCAAUCUGUGUUUGGAAUUUACAAUACUGUGGGAAAUUCCUGUUCCCUCAUGAUGCCUCAACUCUGAAGCACCAAGUGAAUAUUUUGCAUACAUUAUGUCGUCAUACGUUCAGAUAUUCAAUGUGCUUUUAUCUCAUGGCUUGAAUUUUUUCCUUACAAUUGUGCACAUAUUAUGAUAUUACUGAAUUUAUCUAUCCUAUAAUCUUUGAGUUUAAUGAUCUUUCUUUGCUUAGUAUUUCCAUUCCUUGAUAUAUGUCAUUCAAUGUUAAACCUUUAGGAGAAGCUUCAUGCUAUCUAAUGGCCAAUGCACUGAAGAGCCUUGCAGAUAUAGAAAAAUUACCCGAUGAAGAUUUUCCUUACAGAAAGCAGGUUUUGUAUUGUUUGCUAUAUUUGGCCAUGUUAUUAUCUUCAGUUUUACAUUAUGGAAUUAUAGGUCACUGGAUCAUAGUAAAGACUUGUGUAUUUUCAAUCUAUUUAUGCUCUUAAAUACGCAAGGCUUGCUCAAAAUUCAUAAUGAAUUAAGAGUCCUGUUAGAAGUUAUUUGAUCUUUUUCUUCUCGUUUAAUUCAGUUUUCCCUUCUCUUUUUGCAGCUUCAUGAAUGUAUUGGGUCAGCCAUUGGUGCUAUGGGACCUAAGGAAUUUUUAAAUGUUUUACAUGUACAAAAUAUAUCGGACGCCAAUGUAUGGAUUCUACCUUUACUAAAGCAAUAUACUGUUGGUGCCAGUUUAAGCUUUUUCGUGAAAGAGAUUUUAAAAAUGAUUAGCUGCAUUCAGGAGAACAUUCCUAAGGUAUGAAUUAUUUCAUAGGAAAUUCGAGUCAAUUUUAUUUGGCAUGCAUUUUAACUGGAUAGUUUUAAUUGAACAGCUUGUUGAGGAGGAUAAACUCUUCUCAGCUAAGAGGGCAGAAGGUUACAUAUAUUCACUGUGGUCCUUAUUGCCUUCUUUCUGCAACUAUGCUUGUGAUACUGCAAGUAGCUUUGGAGAUCUUCAAAAUGUAUUAUGUGAUACACUCCGUAAUGAGCCCAGCUUGCAUGGGGUAGUGUGCUCCAGUCUUCAGGUGGUUCUCUUCUUUGCUAAUAGUUGAUUUACUUGUAUAUCCUGCAAAUUGUCUAUCUGCCUAUGUAUGUAUGUGAAAAAUUCUGAAUAAUUAUUGAUGCCCAUAAAGUGCUUGAUAUCUUCCAGCCCUAGUACUUUCAAAAUUGUUUACUUUAUGGAACUUUUUCUAAUACAUGACCAACUAAUGCCAUGAAUUGGAAAACUCUGCAACUCAAGACAAGUGCAUUUUUGUAAGAAACUUCACCAUCAAUGGAUAUUAUACAAAUUCAAAUAUUACAGGGCUGCACAUGUAAUUGAUGAUUUUGCAGGAAUAUUUAUGUGAAACCCCUUACCAGUUAUUGUUCAUGUUCUUUAUUAUUGCAUGAAAUGUUAGGAUUUAUCCUUCUCUUCUUGUUUCUAGAUUCUAAUUCAACAGAACAAGGGCAUACUCUCUGAAACAAAGCAAAAGGACACAGAGCCUGAGGAUGAAUUAAGCAAGCAUGUGAGUAGAGCUAAGUCCUACUAUACCAAAGAGUUGGCAGAGGGAAAUUUAAAAGCCAUACGAGCUUCUUCUUCAAAGUUUUUGAAAGUCUUAUACUCUAUAUUCUUGGAAACUUCAAAAGACAAUGGUGGAAGCUUGCAGGUAUCGAGUUUCUUGUUUCCUCAUUAAUGCUAAUUAUUGAAGUUUUCCUAAUUUGUCUGCAUUACUGCUGUAUGCCAUCUAUUUCAUCUUUGCAUGAAGACAUGUUCAGAUGUUUUUUUCUUCGGCCAUCUGUCUAUUUAAUAGAUCAUCGAUUUUGUUAGAGCCAUUUACUUGCCAUCUCUCUCUGUCUCUCUCUCUCCCCUAAUUCCAUUCCAUUUAGUCAUGGCUUCUUUGUGGAAAAGAUGAUGGCUGAUAAGGAGAUUUUUUUUUUUUCCUUAAUAUAUACAUUUGGGUGGUGGUGGGUGCACUAGAGGAGAGUAGAGAUUUUUUAUCUGAAGUUGAUAUUCACCUCAAAACUGAAAAUGCCCUUGGUAGAAUGUUCAUUUUUAUAAGUGGCGAACAAACUUUCUGGAUCUCGUUACUUUAGCCUUGAGAGUCCAAAUUCAUGUAAUUGCUCCAUAAGAGUUCCUCUUGUUGGUGGUACUAGCGACUUCUAACCAGAAUUAUUGUUUAACCAACUUGCCUGGUCGAUGAUGAUCCUUUUGGGAAAUAUUUUAGCAUGAAACUGUUUAUCUUCUUUUCCAGGUCCAGAGAGGCUACUUUUUUUUUCAUAACUAAGAAGAACAAGUGGUAGUAGAAUAUUUUUCUGGCUUGGUCCUUUUGAUCCAGUUGUCCAUUACUCCCAAGUUAAAUUAUUUCUUUUUCCAUACUUUGUCACGAAGCUCCCAGCUGCUAAAUGCUCCUGAAACUGGAAUUCUUUAGAAUCUAUACUUCUUAAAUACUUUAUUCUAGUUAUGAAUUUGCUGAUUCUACAAGAAGGACAUAACAUUUUUCUUUCUUUAAAUUUUUCUAGUCCACCAUCAAUGAGAUUGCUUCGAUAGCAGACAACAAGGUAAUCAAGAAAUUCUUCGUGGAUACCAUGAAAGAACUAUUGGAGGCGACUCAGGAAGCAAUAAAGUCAAAGCAGAUUGAUGAUUCCAGUUCAAAGCAGAUUGAUGAUUCCAGUUCAAUGCAAAUUGACGCUUUGUCCAGCUCGAAAAUUAUGAGGAGGUUUGUUUAAAAAUUGCAAAGUAAUUCAUAAUUAGGUGUUUCUCAUCUGUCUGAAUGGGAGUUUUUUUUUCGGAAUCAUCGCAAGUAUCUCAUUUUGUAACAACCUCCUCCAGGGCCCUCUUAUUGGACUUUGCAGUUUCGCUUCUGCCUGGGCUGGGUGUAAAGGAGAUUGAUUUAUUAUUCAGUGCUAUUAAACCAGCAAUUGAGGUCCAUAUAUAGUUUAUUGCAAAUUAAAUCUUUUUAUCAAUGCUUUAUCUAUUGAUUGUGAUUCCCCAGAAAAAUUUAUUUCUUACAGGACGAAGGUUUAAUUCAGAAAAAAGCAUACAAAAUUCUUUCAGUUAUACUCAAGGUUAGUCUUGUAGGUAGAUCCUUGGAGAAGUGUUUCUUUUCUCGUCCAUGAAGUGUCAGCUGCUAAUUAUAUUUUCUGUUCAUUGCUAGGAUUCUGAUCAAUUCGUCAAAAGGAACUUGGAUGUGCUUCUCGACUUGAUGAUUAAAUCACUUACAUCUUGUCAAUUUCCAUCAAAACGUUAUCGACUUCAAUGUUUAUAUUACUUAAUUGUGUAUAUUUCAAAGGUUAGUGAUAAGAUCAACUCUCCUUUGAUGUUGGUGAUUUGGGUAUAUGAUGAUUCGGGCAUAUUAAGUAGACUUUAAUUAGAAAUCUGUUUUGUUGUUUAUAGGAUUCAUUCGAACAAAGGAAGAGGGACAUUGUUAGCUCCUUUCUCACAGAAAUAUUGCUAGCUUUAAAGGAGGUAAGCUGCUAGUUCUGUGAAGGUUUUGCGGUAUGUUACUAUGGGGCAAAUACUUGCUGUCUCUUAAUAGCAUAUUUAGUAGUAAUGAUUUUUGUUGUCUUCAUAUCUUGGAAAAGUCUAUCUUAUUCUCAUUUGCUAGUUGUUUGAAUAUUUGAUCCAUAAUGUAUGGAAGGUGUGAGAUUUUUCUAUAACAUUAAGGAAUCUGCAGAUGAUUUAUAUGGAUGUUCGAUGAUUUUUUUUCAUUGUUAUGGCUGUAGCAUCUAUCAGUCUGCUAUUUCCUUAGGGACUGCAUAAUUGUUCUUUGACUUUAAAAUUUAGCAAGACCCAGCUUUUUUUAUUAUUUUGUCAAUUGCAAUAAGUGUUAACUAUCUCUUUUAUCAGGCCAAUAAGAAAACAAGAAAUAGAGCUUAUGAUUUGCUUGUCGAAAUUGGUCAUGCUUGUGAAAAUGGAAACAAUGGCGGAAGCAGACAAAAAUUGCAACAACUUUUUAGUAUGGUAAUACUACUGAUUGAUGAUUUACCUUUUGAGUUGAUAUAUAUUUUUCUGUUGCCCAUAAGGGAGAAAAUCGAGAAAUACUAAACUUAAUCAACUGUUAGUGCUAAUGCUUUUAUCAUACAUCAAAUAGGAGUUUUCAUAUGAAAAUAUCUUAUCUUCCUCUGUUUACUCAGGUUGCUGGAGGUCUUGCCGGCGAAACCCCUCAUAUGAUUAGUGCUGCAAUAAAAGGGUUAGCUCGCUUGACCUAUGAGUUUUCAGAUCUCAUUGGUUUAGCUUACAACUUACUUCCAUCAGCAUUUCUCCUCCUGCAAAGGAAGAACCGUGAAAUUGUAAAAGUAUGUUUCAGUCUUGCAAGUUGUCUUUCUAAAUAAUGAGUAACUUUUUUUUCUUUAAAAAAAAAAACUCUCUAGUGUAGUGUGUGGUGUAGUGCACCCUUUUUUACCAUUUUUUUUUACUGACAUUUUGUGAUUUCUAAUAUAGGCUAAUUUAGGUUUUAUAAAAGUUCUGGUGGCCAAAUCCAAAGCUGAAGGGUUGCAAGAGCACCUAAGGGACAUGGUCGAGGGAUUGUUCAAGUGGCAAGAUGAUACGAAGAAUCACUUUAAAGCCAAGGUGCCUUUCUCUUUUCUGCAUAUAGUUCAAACAUGCAAACAUGAUUCUUAGUUCUGUGAUUUGUGCAAAUCAGAAGUUUUAUCCUUAAUGAAAACUGCUUUCUAGAUGUACAUCCAUCAACUAUAUCAGGGGGAAAAAAUCAAAAUAUAAAAAAGGGAAUUAUUUUAACUCACUGUGGCAUUCAUUCUGUAUGUUAUAUCUAGAUCAAGUUACUUCUUGAACUGCUGAUAAGGAAAUGUGGUUUGGAUGCUGUGAAAGCGGUUAUGCCUGAAGAACAUAUGAAACUGCUAACCAACAUAAGGAAGGUAAAUAUCAUUUUCUUCCUUGGUGCUAUUUAUAAUCCCUUUUUUUUUUUCCUUCGUCCUACCUUAAUUUCUCUUGAAAAGUAGAUUAAGGACCGAAAAGAACGGAAGACCAAAUCUUCAGACGAUGGAGAGUCACUUACAGCAAGAACAAGUAUCUCAAGGUAGCGUGAUUUCAAUAGUCUUUUAGUUGCAACUGAUAUAUAAUCGUAUAUGCACGUGCUUCAUAAAUCCCUUUUUUGGGCCCAACGAAUGGUUUCAUUUAGUAUUAUAAGAAACUUUUAAUUCUUUAGCCCCUGUUUGGUAUGGGGUUAAGGGGUGGAAUAAUCCCUUAACUCCAUACUUACUCCCAAACACUCACAAAAAUGGGUGGGGUUAGCUAACCCCACCUAACCCAGGAUAGCCCAUUUUGGGUGGGGUUAGCUAACCCCACCUAAACCCACCAAACCUCAAUCAAACACUAUUUUCUAUUCAUAAUAACCCACUAUCCUUCUUAUCUCAUCUACUCCAACCAAAUACUAUUUUUCACUAUCUUGGACUAACUCCAAUCCCCAACCAAACACAAAAAUACUCUAACCCCCUUAACCCUGAACUUAACCCUAUCCCUGAAAUAACUAGUUUUUCCUUAACCACGAACCAAACGGUUGCUUAAAGAAUUGGGUUGAUACUGUUUUACCACAGAGGACUCUAAAAUAUUAGCAUUACAUGCGUAUGUAAAAUAUGUUUCCCUGCCAAUGUCAGAGGCUUGUUUAAGUUUCCUGCGUCAAAUUCUUCUUACAUCUCCAUGUAUCUGGGGUUAGGCUAUGGACAUGCUUAGAAAGGUGAAGCUAUUAUAAUUCUGCUCCAUUCUGUGAUAAAAAUUCAAAUGGCUUGAGUUUCGUUUAGUACGUGCCUAUGCAGCCAAAUUCAUCUACUUCGUCUUGGUGUUGGAAGGAAGAAAUGUAUUUAUAGCAAGCUGCAUUCUGUUUGGUUGCAGUCGUCAUUUUCUGAACCUGAUACCUGUUUUUGUUAAUUUGCUAUUGCUUCAUGCUGUACAGGCAGAGUAGAUGGAAUCAUACUCGUAUUUUCUCUGAUUUUGGAGAUGAAGAUGGGAGCGACGAAGGUGAUGCUGAACUUGGGAUGGCCAAAUCCGUUAAUUCUUCUUAUCGGGGUUCAAAAGCUUUUUCAUCUAGGUACUUUUUCUCCUUCAAAUGCUUUUCAGGUGCAUCCUUUUUUCAAUUUUUAAAUUCUUCAACACUGUUCAUUUAAAAGUCAUCGUAUUCAUAACUCAUAUUCUUUGUUUCUAAAUAUUUAUUAUUAUCUUGAUGGCUUUUGCAUAGGUCUACGCGAAAGCGUAAGACAGCAAAAAGCUUAGCUGAAGAGUUGAUCGACCAAUCUGAUGGUGAUCCACUAGACUUGCUAGACCCUAAAACAAUGAGAACAGCGCUCCAAUCCUCGUCACAUACCAAAAGGAAUAGAUCAUCUCUUGAUGAGCCAGAGAUAGACCCCGAGGGCCGUCUAAUUGUGCGUGAGGAAGGCAGCAGACCUAGAAAGGAAAAGAGCUUCUCUUCUGAUCAGGACUUGGAUACAAAAAGCUUCUUGGGAAGCCGUUCUCUCGUGAGCACUUCAACAAGAGGACAGAAGCGUAGGAAAACAGCUGAAUCUGGGUGGUCGUACACGGGCAAAGAGUAUACCAGUAAGAGAGCCAGCGGGGACCUAAAGAAGAAGGAUAAGUUAGAGCCUUACGCUUAUUGGCCGCUUGAUCGGAAACUGCUUAACCGCCGGGCGGAGCGAAAAGCAUCUGCUCGGAAGGGCAUGGCGAGCGUUAUGAAGAAGUUCACGAAGAAGCUUGAAGGGACAAGUGCUACUGGUGCACUUUCCGUCAAGGAGAUGAAGGUAAGAAAGAAAGUAAAGGGAAGCAACAAAAGAAAGUAAGAUAUUGUUAAUUAUAUUUAAUGAUCUGAGAUGUACUGCAUCAAUGGUCAUCAUUUUUGUUUGGUUUAAAGUAUGGAGGAAAAGUUGCAUAUUGUGCGCGAGACUUUUCCUGGUUUUGAGGAUGUAUAGUCGCCGAAAGAGUGCAAACCGAAGCAAGUUGGAUGAAGACGGUGACUGUUAUUACCGGCUCGAAUUCGUAUUUGUAAUUGUAUGAUGAUUUUCUUUUUUGCCCCUAAACUUCUAUGGUGCCAAUAAUUUUUUGAUUUGUUGUAGAAUGUUCAGCUUUAAUUGUCUAUUUGGUGUUUUUUUUUUUUUUUUUUUUCCGUUUCGCCUGCGGUAGCGGGGGGAAAUGCAUAGGAUAUUUUCUCCUAUAGAAACUAUUCAGGUCGUAUAUGGAUAUGCAUAUGGAUAUGAUUUUAGAGAUUAAAAUUCAUUCGGAUAUUGAUAUGGAUUUGGAUUUUUGGACUUCUUUUUAAUAGUGUUAUAUUUUAUAUUUAAUAAAUUAUGUUGCAAUAUUAUAUCUCAGCGUUUCAUUCUCCUGGUUCCUAUAUCCAAAUAUUCUCUUCCUUUAUUCCAGUAUUAUGCUUUUUAAAGUUGGAAAAACUUUAAAUACCACUCUUGUUGUUUCGUAUUUUGUUAUUUUACUACCCUGUGGUCUAAAGUGUGUCAAUUUAGUAUUCUGCAGUUUUAUUUUUCUCUUUUUAUUUUUCUCUCCACUAAUUUUUUUUUUGUUAAAUCAGUGGUCUUUUAAAAUUAAAAGGUACUAAAGUGAAUAUUCGUUAAACUUAGGUGGGAUAUGUGAAAUUUUUUGUCUAUAAUUUAAUGAGAUGUUAACUGAGUUGAUGAAAAAAAAAAAAGAAAAAAAAAAAGAAAAAAAAAAGAAAGCACUAAAUUGAUACACUUUAAAUUACAGAAUACUAAAGUGAGAAAGUGCGAAAUCACACCGGUGGUAUUUGAAGUUUACCUUUUUAAGUUUCUAGAUUGGUAAAAAAAAAAAGAAAUCGUUGAUUGUUUGAUUGCUAAUGUGUGGGUCUACAGUCUCGAUCCAGGGCCGCCCGACCUGCUACUUCGGGCCAUGCUAGGCCGCUACCCUCAGGCCCGUUGGUCCGGCACCGCCCGGCCCAAAUUGGCAUGGGCUGUGCUCGCAAAUUUUCUCCGAACUCUUUAAAAUUUUAAAAAUUUUAAAAUUUUUUUUAUUAUAAAAAACUUUUUCUUAUAAAUUUUAAUGUUUUUUGACCAACUAUCAGUUCUUAAAAAUAAUUUUCAUCUUUUGUAUAUAUAAACUCCUUUGAUAUUAGUUAUUUCAAAAUUAAAUUUUAAAAUUAGAUAUUAAUAAUAACUAAAUCAAUCAACUCUUAUGAAGUAGUACAUAAUAUCGAUAAAGAGUAAUAUAAGGUAAGCAAGGUUUCAUGUGGGAGCAGUGGAUAAGAUCCAUUUUCCCUUUGCAUUAUUAUGAUCCCUCAUAACCAACAUAUGUUAGGUGGAUGAAGCAAUAAUUUCAUGUUAGAUCACUGUUGAGGAAAAAAAAAUGUUCAGAUUAUUGUGUACAAAAUCUUGGAAUGGGGAUAGAGCCAUUUUUUAUGAACUUUAAAAAAAAUAAAACAAAGGGUAAAUUGCACUACUAGUUCCUGAACUUUGAUUCGAGUUUUACUUUUGGUCCUCGAAGUUGCGAUUUGGAUGAUUGGGAUCUUGAAUUUUUAAUAAUGUUUCAAUUUAGUUCCUAAAUUUUCAACAAUAUUUCAUUCCGGUCCUUAUUGUUAUAUGCACUUGAUUUAUCUUCAGACAACAUAGUUUUUAAAUUCUUCACCAAUUUCAUAUGUUUAAUUUAACUGCUCAAUUUGUAUAUCGAGAAUAAUUAUAACUUAAUAAGUGCUAAAUUUCUUAAUUCUUCACCAAUUUCAUAUGUUUAAUUUAAUUUAAAAGCCCUGCGUGUAGGCAAUAAUUUGGUCUCUACUAUUAAAUAGGGAAUAUGCACAAAGGACUAAAAUGAAACUUUUCGAUAGCUAGAAACUAACUAUAGAGUAGGGUUACGAUAUUCCUAUAAGUAUAAAUUUUUUUAUACUUGUAAGUUUUCGGUCGUUGGAUGAGGAAACGUGCGGUUAGGAUGAUAGUAGUUUCCUGUUAGGAUGAUAGUGAUCCUCUUGGAUUUAGUAGGUGAUCAGUUGAAUAGUAUGAUCUAACAGAUAAAAAUGAUCAAGGAGAUAGAUUUAACGGUCGAAAAUUUAUGAGUAUAAAGAGAACUAUAGUCGUAAGAGUAGCCGGACUCCUAAUUAUAACACCAAACUUGAAUGUUUGAGAAACAAAACGGAACUAGGGGAAAAGUUCAGGGAUGUUUGCCAAAUUUAAAAUGUUAAGAUUGAUCAAACACUAAUUUUAUUCGAACCCAAUUAGAACGGGACGAGUUUAUCCUAAUAAAUAAAAAAGGACAUACUUAACCCAACACAAUAGUUUUACAAAUUAGGCUUGAAUUGUAUGGAGAGAAUUGCUAAGAUAUUUAUCAUCAAUAAAUGAAGCCUAAAAAAUUAAUUUGUCAUUAAUGAAUACCUACCGCAAAUGUGAGAAUUAAUUACUGUAUGAAAUAAAGUGAUAAAGUGCUAUAUUACCUGUCAAAAUAAAGUGCUGUACCACAGGUUUGAUAGGAGCUACUUCCUGAAUAUGUAGAAGAUACCUCUAAAAUCUCAAAUUUCUGAUAAUUCUGGUUUAUGUGUGUGGUUGAAUUUGGAUUUAAUAGUUCUGAUUUUAUGUAUGAUUGGAUAUAGACAUGAUGAGUAUUCCAGCAUCAGGUAAAAAUAAUAGUUUGGUUCCAAUAAAUUAUUACUGGGAGAGUAUGUCAAAUUGUUAUAGAAACAAUGUGGGAUUGAAAAACAAGGUGUUCAUGUUUGGUGUUGUCCGAUAAAAUGCUAUUUCCAGUAGUGUUAUUAUAAAAUUUAAAAACAAAAAGCUGCAUUAAUUAAUAUAUCCUCUAAAUGGCUUCUCCGAAGCUCCAAAUGGCAUCUCAUGUUAAGCUACUUUGAUAUCAAGGCUUGUUUGACUCUGAUUCUACUUAAGUGUCUAGUAAAGCAUUCAAUAGAUAGAAAAUGAAACUUUGAGUUUCUAAAUGGAAGUCUAAAUUUGAUACUUUUUGAUUCUUUAUAGAAAGAAGUUAUUGAGAAUAUUCUGACAUAACACUUCUACAAGUAGCAUUAUAUGACUUGGAUGUAGCAAUUCUCCAACAUUCCUAGAGAAAUCAAGAAAAUUCUGAAUCAUCACAAGAAAACAAAGUAUGACGUUUUGGCGAUAUGUAAACCGCCCACAAAAAAUAAAAUAAAAUAAGAAAAUACAUCGCUCGAAGCAUCUGAGUUCGACUGACUUGGCUCGAACUUAAGUGAAAGUGAAAACAGAAAGAAAAAUGAUCCGUGUAUCCAUCCCCAUCUGGAAUAUGCGGGGGUUUUGCGAAGAUCUUGCGGUGUGUCAAGACCAAUCAAAUUCUGGCGUACUAUAGCGUAUAUCAGAAGAGAUCGCUGUGAUCAUUGCUAUAUCCGUGUAACAAUAUAGUCGUAUCUAUAUUGCAGUACCGCGAAACAAACUUCUAAUUAAGCUCCCAUUUUAGCUCUCAAAAAAAGGAUAAAACUAAACCACUCUAUUUAAGGUGGUGAUGACUACAGUUAAGAAAUCCAGGGACCAAAAACGGGUAAUGAGUCACCAAUCCUCCGUACUCUAUAACAGGACAAAAAUUAGAAAGACCAAGUCAAAUGUGUUAAUUAGAUUAGGGUUUGUAAUUAAAGGUGGGGAUAAGGUCAACAAACAACUAAAAGCUAUUAAUGCUUUGCCACCUCCCAUUUUUGAAAGAACUUAAUUAUUGCCUACACCACCACAUGUAUACAUAAUAAACUAUAAGUAACACCUCAUAUUUGAUUAUUAUUAAGUAAAAGUGUAUAAAGCUGUUACCCAUUUUGAUCUGGCUGUUUAAUUAAUCUUCAAAAUUUUUAGUUUUGCUACAUAAUUUUUAAAAUUUAUUUGAUUUUAUUCAGUUAAUGACUUUUUAACUUUAAAUUCUAAAUAUAGUAUUCAUCUCUACGAGUUUAAUUAAUAUAUGUUUUAUGAGUCUGGCUACUAUAUUUUUAUAAGUAUAGAUUCCCUUUAUACUCGUAAAUUUUCGGCCGUUAGAUCUACCGCUUUGAUUACUCACUCAAUCUUAGAAAACCACUAUCAUUCUCGCCGCACAUCCCUUCAUCCAAUGGCCGAAAACUUAUGAGUACAAAUGAAUCUAAACUCAUAAUAAAGUAUAGUAAUCAUAGCCUGUAUUUUAUAUAAUUCGUGUAAUUAUAAAUUUAUUGAAAUAAAUAAUGAGUUUAAAUUUUGUAUUCGAAGAGUUACCAAAUAACUUAAAUCAAACAAAUUGAAAUGUUGGAUAUUAAAUUUAAAAUUUUGAUAAAUUGGAUAUAUAGUCGAAUUAAAAUGACGUAUAAUUUAGAUAAGUUUUAUAUAUUUUUACCUUAUUAAUAUUCUAAAACUAGUUUCUAUUCUAAAACUAAAAUCCAGUUUUAUUGAUCUGCAAUAUGUAAAGAUUUUAUAGUAUAAAUUUUGUGAACUUACUGCCUAUAAGGUGACAACUUUGUUUCAGUGCAUAAAAUUUAUCAAUAUUCAAUAUAUAAACCUUUUAAGUUUGAGCACCCAUUUCUCUUAUAUAAGUUUGAUAUUCAUCUAAAUUUAAAUUUUGUUACUUAUGACUUCAAAUUUAAAUUUAGACAGUAACUUUUAAAUUUUGUUAGAUUUUAAACUUUUUAAAUUUUAACUUAAAUAGAAUUUCAAUUCCGAUUCCGAUUCCGAUUCUUCUUACAGGCCAAACAAAUUCGGAGUUUUCCUGAUUUCGUUUUUUCAACCCUGUCUCCUAGUUUCGAUUUUUCAAUCCUGUUCUGAUUUCGAUUCUUAUUUUAAAUCAGAUAUGCUUUUACUAGGGAGCGUGUUGUGCCAAUAAUAUUUAAACACUUGGUACAAGCAAAUAUAUAUAUUUUUUUUUACUUUUAGUUUUUUUUUUUUUUUGGGUCCAGAAAAAAAAAAACCGCGCGCGACAGUCGUUCCCGCCUCACAGUCUUUCUUCCAACAUCGUAAUUAUUGGGAAAGCCAACUGCCCGUCUGUCCCGACUCCCCACAACCUCCUGAAAAAAAAAAGAAAAAAAGAAAAAAAGAAAAAAGAAAAGAGAAAAAAAAGGAAAAAAAAGAAAAAAGAAAAAGCUAAAAGUCCGUGAUAUUCUCACCCAACCUUUUCUUUUAUAAUAUCGCGCGCUGAGCGCCGGUCAAACGAGGGACGAAAUUUAUUGCCAGCACGUUCUCAAUAAAUACGGAAAACUUCAAAUACACCAUGUAAUUUCAUAUUUUCUCACUUUAGUAUCCCCUAGUUUAAAGUGUUUAAUUUAGUACCCUAUAGUUAGGGGUGUAAACGAGCCGAACACGAGCGAGCAGGGGUCGGCUCAUGUUCGGCUCGUUUAUUAAACGAGCCGAACACGAGUUGGCUCGUUAAAGUAUCGAGUCGAAAAAUUCAGCUUGUGUUCGGCUCGUUUAUUAACGAGCCAAACACGAGCUGGCUUAUGAGCUGACCAACGAACAAUAAAUUAAAAAAAAUAUAGAUUAAAAUAUAUAAAAAGUAAAUUUAUAAAAUUUAUCUAUUAUGACUUUUAUCUAAUAGUUGAAACAUUUACAUAUAAAUAAAUCUUUUUAUAAUUAAGCUCGCAUUUAUAUUUAUUUUGCCAAAAUUUAAAUAAUAAAAUAUAUAUUAUAUUAAUUAUUUAUUAUAUAAUAAAAUAUAAAUUAAAUAAAUUAUAUAAAUAAAAUAUAUGAUUCAUUCUAGUUAUCUGAGCAUAUGAGCGAGCUGACCAGCUCGUGUUCGGGCUGUUAAUAAACGAGCGAGCCGAUCUCGAGCUCAUUUCGAGCCGAACACGAGCUGACUCGCGAACAGCGAGUUGGAUUGCCAUCCCUACCUAUAGUUUCAUUUUUGUCUUUUUAUUACCGAUUCCACUAAUUUUUUUUAUUAAAUCAGUGACAAAGUUAAAACUAAAGGGUACUAAAGUGAAUAUUCGAUAAAUCUAGGUGGGGCAUUUGAAGUUUUCAGUAUAUAAUUUAACAAAAUAUUAAUGAAAAAGCUGAUGAAAGAUAAAAAUAAAACUAUAGAAUACUAACUUGAUACACUUUAAACCACAGGGCAUUAAAGUGAGAAAGUGCGAAACCACAUGGGUGGUAUUUGAAGUUUCGUUUAUUUCUUUUUAGAAAUAAACUUAGCAGGAAAUAUGAAUUAAUUAGAAUUCGAACUCGGGACAUCAGGUACUAGCCACCAAAUUUCUGGAAAUGUGAAUUAAUUAGAAUUCGAACUCGGGACAUCGGAUAUUAGCCACCAAAUUUUUGCCACUUGCACUGGGGCCGGUUGGUACAACUUGAAAUGUGGAUGUGGUAAAAUAUAGAUUUUUAAAAGUUAUAGAAAAAAAGUAAAAAAAAAAAGUAUAUAAAUUUUUUUUUUUUUAUAAUUUAGCCUAAAUAUAAAUUUUAGUUGGGAUCUCCCCAACCACAUCUCCCCGAAACCCUGAUUCGCUAUUAUAUAUUAAUUUUAUUUUUAUCGAAUUGUUUGUUGAAUACUUUUUAGUACUAAAAUUUGUUUAAAAAAUUUAAACUCUAGAGCAAAGAGUUGUAGCGAGAUAAAGUGGCACAUUGUGAUGAGUUGAGACUCCUUAAUAAGGCGUUGUUGGGACACCCUAUGCACAUAUACUGCAGCUAAAGGCACGUUUGUUUCACCGUAAAUAAACUUUGGGUUGAAGUAGACUUUGGGUUGAAGUAAAGUUCAGGUGAAAAUUACUUCAUCUAUGAUGUUUGUUUCUAACUGUGAAAAUGAAGUUCUACCAAUUCUACUGUUUGUUUGACAAAAAAUAGAGGACGUAAAAAUUGCAGUUCUUCACUUUUUCUGUUUGUUUCACCGAAAAUUAUUCAAUCCCAACACUCCCAGUAAACUUGCAUCCUAAAUGAUAUUAUUGUUUAUUUUAUAAUUUAAUAAAUAAUAAAUUAUAAUAAAUAAAAAAUAAUAUAAUUAUAUAUCUAUAUAUAUAAUUAUAAAAUAAAAUUUAAAAUAAUUAUAUUGUUUUUUUGCAUAUAAAUAAUAUAAUGCAGCAAAUAAAAUUCGGAAAGAAUUAUUAACAUUUAACAAAUUAAUUUGUCAUCAUUUUUUAAAUAUACAAAUUAAAUAAAAGAUAUAUUGAAACUUAAGUAACCAAAUUUAAUCAUAUUUUAGACAUGCAGCCUAACUAAAAAAUUAAUUACUUCUACAUUACCAUAAUUAAGUUCUCAUUCUUCUUUCCUUUACUCACCAAAAUUGAUUUCGCCCUAUGGGAGAGCGAAGUCAAUUUUGGUAUUUUGGGUAAACUGAAAUUUUGACCACAUUAAUAUUAGAAUAAACCAAACGGCAGAAGUAAUCAAUUUUCGCCGAAAAUCACUUCCCCCUCCCUAUUUACGGUGGAACAAACAUGCCAUAAUAUUAAGGCUAUGAAACAUUUUAAAUCUACUAUUCAAUUUUAAAAAUAAUUAUUUUAUUAUCCAACUUUUUAAUUUAUUUGAUUUGAAUCAGUCAACUAUAUUUUGAUUCUAAAAUUUAAGCUAAUUACUUGCUUUAAUAAAUUUGUAGCUAACUAUGAGAAUUGCAUAAAAUAUACUAACAUAAAAUUGUAAAAAUAAACAAUGAAUAAAAAUUUUGAAGUCAAGUGUCAAGGACCUGACUCAAAUUAAAUAAAUUGAGAUAUUGGAUAGUAAAAUCAAAAUUUUGAAUUAAAGGUGGAUAAUCGAUUCAAAAUAGUUUAUAAUUUAGAUAGGUUAUGUAUGUUUUUACCUAAUAUUGAUAAUAGGCCACUAAAAUGUAAGACAUAUUUUCAUAAAAUAUUCAUUUUUAUUUUAUAUUUUAAAUUUAAAUCUUGGCACUUAAUCUCGCAUUAUUACUAUUCCGUCAGAUCAUUUCGUGCAUAUAAUUUACGACGCAACUAGAUAACUACUAGUAUAAUCAUUUUACCCUCAGAAAUGAUGGAAAAAAAGUUAUUAACAAAUAAUGUGAAAUUUUUUUCAUAAAGUUACGAAUUUAAGAGAAAAUAAAAAAAAAAAGCAUUUCGACCAUUUUUUAGGGUAUAAUAGAUAUUUCAAUAAGUUAUUCGCAUGUGCCACAUAAUUUAUAUAUGGAAUAUUGGUAGAAUAAUAAUAGUGCUUGAUUAGAUUAUGUGCUACAAUUUGAAGUUUUAAAAGUAGUAAAAUAGAUAUUCUUAAAAAUAAAAUGAUAAAAUAUGAAAGCAGGUAUGUAUAAGAGAAUUUUCUGUAUUAUAAUCUAUUUAAUAAUUAGUGUCUCCCUAUCAAAAUAUAACAUAAUAGAUUUAAUAUGUAAUAUUAUAAAAGUUUGCAUAUAAAAAAUAUGUAGUAUGAAAAUUUAUUAUUACAUAGGCAUAAUGGCAUAUAAAUCCACUUUCUAUGAUGUCUAGUAUGCAUAUUUUCCAAAUAAAGAGUAAAAAUACCAUAAAUUCUAGGCUAUAAAUUGCAUAAAAUAUGCAACAUAUUUCAAAAUUUUCAUGGAAGAGUCCUUCAAAUUUAGAAUUUUCAUUUAAUAAUUAUUAAAUACUCAUCUCUCACAUAUAUUCCUUUAAAAAUUGUAUAUGUGCGAAAACUUAAUUUUAAACAUUAUCUUAGGAAAAAAAAUUAUUUAUUCUGUUAAAAAAAAAGGGUGUUCCUUGAGAUAAUAUUUUAAUUCCUAAUAAACUCCUUUAUAAUUAGUUAGAUUUAUAUAAUUAUAUCCCACUCGAGAUUCCAUAUCUCUCCUCUUAUGAAUUAGAUUUCCAUCCCAUUCAAGAAAGAGACAUUUUACUAAUUAAUAUCAAAACAAAAAUUGCAAUUUUUGAGGGGUUAAAAUGAAAAUUCAAAAUUUAUGAUGAUACAUAAAUAAUUAUAUGUUUAAGUGGGUUUUAUUUAUAUAAUUAAAUAAUCAAACUAAAAAACCGUUAGAUGUAACUAAAUAACAAUUCCAGAAGAAACAAAAUCAAGUACGAACAAAAAGAAAGGGUUAAAAAAUGGAUGUAGACCCCUCAACUAUAGGAUAUUCUGAUGUGGGUCUCCAACUUUUUUAUUAAGGUAUCUUAAUUUUUUAAACUUUUAAAAAUUAAGUAGUGUUAGAAAAAUAAAUUAGAGAUUUUAUCAAAUCAAUCAACAAUCUUUUCGUCUUAUAAUAAAUAAAAUUAAGAAAUAAAGGUGAAUAACUAAUAAAUUUAAUUAAAUCAUUAACUGCACUAACUAAGAAUUUUCAAAUAAAAAAAUUUAAACUUAUAAAGAUAAAUAUACAUUCAAAGUUGAAAUUAAAAUGCGCUCAAAUUAAGCAAACUGAAAGAUUAGAUAUUAGACUCAAAAUUUUUAAAAAUUAGAUAGCUAACUCAAAAUAGUUCAUAUUUUAAAUAAGUUUUAUAAUUUUUUUUUAAAAAAAACCCUCCAGUAUAAAAGGCAUCUAAGAUAGAGUGGAGGGAUAAUAUAGUUAAUUUAAUUUGGUAAACUUCAAAUUGCGCUCAUCUGACUCAGUUCAUAUUCACUUUGUUAUUCUGUGGUUUUAAAAGUUUAGCGCAUUUUUUAUUUUGUCAUUUUGUAAUAUUUAUAAAUUUUUUUUUACUGUCUUAUUUCAUACAGCAUUAUUUGAUGAAAUAAAAAUUAAACUACAGGCGAAAUAAAAUACUUUAAACCAUGGAGCGGUGAAGUGAAAAUGAGCUAAACUAUGAUGCACAAUUUGAAAAAGUUUGCUAUAUUUUAUUUCCAGCAAAAUAAAUAAAUAAAUAAAUAAAUAAAUAAAUAGAUAAAGUUAAAAUUAAAUUAAAAAAACCACCACCUCUCUUCUUUUAUCUUCUUUUACGCUCUUCAUUAUCUCCCCACCAAAUCUCCUCUCUCUCACGUGCUCUCUCUCUCUCUCUCUCUCUUUUCUCUUUCCCUUUAACCACUUUUCUCUCCCCUCCUCUCCUCUCAUUUUCCUUCUUUUAACUCUCACCCCUUCAUCCCAAUAAUAUAAAGAUUAAUAAAAAAUUAAUAAUAAUAAUAAUAAUAACAAUAAGAUCAAUCGCAAUCGUUCCCCCUCUCCGGCGCGACGAGCCCUCCGUCCUCGUCGCAGCCGUCGCCGUCGACAAGGAGGCAAUUCCGUGAUCCCGUCAAAUAGUAAGUAAUUCAAUUAUAAAUUUCAUCUGCAAAAAUUUAUUGAUCAAUCAUAUAUAAUAUAUAAUUUUAUUUUGAAAUUUUUUAUACUCUACAUAAAAUAUAGAGGAGAAAAUGAAAGGUGGGGGUCGGCCACGAAGCGGGGGCGGGGACCAUCUAUUGAUGGCGAAAGAUCCAAGACUUAGAAUGCGGCGAAAAUAAUAAUGAUAAUAAUAAUAAUAAUAAUAUUAUUAUUAUUAUUAUUAUUAUUGUUAUUUAUUGUUGGAGAAAAGUUUGAAAAUUUUAAUUUAUUUUUUGUGAUUGAGGGAGUCGGUCUAGGAUCAGCUGACGUAGGCGAGUCCCUGGUCAGAGGAGAGAUUGUUUCCUGAACCUGGCCUACCAUGUUAUUUAAUUAUAAAUUAUUUAUAAUUUCGUGUGCAGAAAUUUUUUAUACGCAGUUAAAAUAAUUCAUAAAAUUUUUUCGCACAAAAAAUUUCAGCUGUCCAUUUGAAAGGUUAUAAGUGAAGGGAGAUCCCUCUCGUCUUUCAAUAAGCAAUUGAUUUUUUUUUUUUUUUUACGUUUAAGAAUUUUAUACAUAAUAUAUUUUUAGAAAUUUAUAACAAAGUUCCGGCAAGAAAUAGCAUUUCAACGAAGACCUUGCUGGAUUAUUAACCAUCUAAUUAAAUAUCAUUAUCAGAAAUAAAAACUAUCCAAAAAAAAUAGUUUUUUACUAUACGGCCGGUAAGAAUAAGAUUUUGCUAAUUCAAUUAACCAUAAUAAAAUUUGCUUAUCAUUCGGAUCCCGACUUAGUCUGUUAUUUUUAGAUUCUGGUUCGGUCAAAACUCAUCUCAUGCUUUUCUUUGGGUGAUUGACAUUGAUAUCAACUGUGCCGUCUCGAUUUGGAUUAUCCAUCUUAAAACUAUUCUAAGUUUUAGCAUAGCUCAAAAUACUAUAGCCAGAUUAAAAUAUUUAGCUCUACUACACCUUACAUAUAAAACUAUUCCACGUACUAGGAAUGUUGGUGUUGGUUCGAUGAUUAGUCCUAUAGGCAUGGUACAUUACACGGCAAGACGGGAUUAUGCGCAUAAAAUUUCUGCACACAUAAUCAUAGUAAGAAACAGUGCGGGGACGAUAUUUUAGUAGGUGUAUAGACCGGGUCGAGGGAGUAAAUUCUGCCGGGUGGGAGUCCAGGGCCAGGGGUAAUGAAAGGGGGUCCGUCGGGAGUUGUUUUCCGGUGGGUCUCGGUCGCAUGCUGUCCACGACCGCCAUAACGACCUCCUCCCUAACCCAAACGCACCCCCCUCACCUUCACUAAUUUAAAGACCCCCCCUCUCAUUUUUAUUUUUAAUUUUAUUUUAAUUUAAUUUUACUUAUUCAAUAAUUCUUACUUACUAAAAUUUGAGCGUCAGAAGACGUGAGAUACUCUAAUUCAGCUUGUUAAAAUAAAAAAAUUUUCAAAUACUAUUAUUGUGGUUUCAUACUUUUUUACUUUAGUACUAUAUAGUUUAAAGUGUAUCAAUGUAGUGCCCUUUAGUUUUAUUUUUAUCUUUUUAUUAUCGAUUUUAUUUUAUUUUUCGUUAAAUCAGUGACAAAGUUAAAAUUAAAAAAUACUAAAGUGAAUAUUCGAUAAAUCUAGAUAGAAUAUUUGAAUUUUUUUGUAUAUAAUUUAACCGAAUAUUAACGAAAAAUAAAAAUGAAACCAUAGGAUACUAACUUGACACACUUUAAACCACAAAGUAUUAACGUAAGAAAGUGUGAAACCACAUGGGUGGUAUUUGAAAUUUAUCCUAAAAUAAAUGAUAUAAUUAAAAAGACCGAUGACUUCAAUUAAUUAAAUUAAAUAAAACUUUAUAAAAGCUCGGUAAAUAAAUUAUAAUGUUUCAAAAAUUAUAUUAUUCAUAAUUUUAAUUAGAAUUAAUUGCAUACUGCUUUUUGUAAAACGUAGCGAGUUGCAAAAAUAUAUUCCUAUAGUUUAAUUUUUUUAUGUUAUUUUUGCAAAAGAUUUUAUAUUUUCAAAUAUAUCUCUGCCGUUAGGAUUCAUUAAAAAAUUUUAGUUAACCAUACAUAAAAUAUUUAACUUUCAUUAGUCAAAAAGAUAAAUUAAUAUUUUUAUCUCUCUUGUAUUACACUUUCUUUUUUUAAUCAAUACCAUGACAAUGGAAACUCUCUUCUUCUUCCUCUUCCUUUCUCUACUUCAUGCUAGUUUUGAAUCCAUAAAUAGAAUUUUUUCGUCAUCAUUCUUCAUCUACAACGUAUGUUAUUUUGUCCAUGUCAAAAGCGUGUUGCUUUUCCCUAUCAAUUUUUUUUAUAACUUUUUCUUAUUUUGCUCAAAAGAAAGGGUUUAGAAGAAUAUGAGUAAGAAAAGAUGUUGCAACAAUAAUAAAUUGUAUUAGAUUUUAAAGAGAAAGAAGAUAACCAUUAAAAGUUUUCGUAAAGAUAUUUCUACACAAUUAUAGCAAUUGGGGUUUUUGGAGGGAUAUAUUUGUGAUGAUAAAUUUGACAUUUCAGUUAUCUGCUGUUAAAAAAUAAAUAGUUCUUUAAUAGGCAGGUAACAAAUAAAUAGUUCUCUAAUAGUUAUGAAUAUCAGUAUAUCACUGAAAUUUUAUAGGGAUAAAAGUUAAGCGUUAAAUUUUGUAGAAAUAUAUUUAUUAUUCGAUAUGUUUACAGAAAAUUGUAUGCAAUUAACCCUUUUAAUUACAAGAUAAUUUAAUAUUUCGUGCAUUCAACGGUACUUAAAUAUUAGGUAGGUAAGUGGAGGGAGCCAUAUUUAAAUAAGUUUUAUUUAUACUUUUUUUUUUUGUCUCUUUUUAUUAUAAAUUGUAAAUAAAUAAAUAUUGAAAGGAGUGUACUUUUUUUUAAAAAUCAUUUUUUUAAUUAAUGUUUUCGGGUUAGUUACGUUGAAUCGCUAUUAAAUGCUAACUUGAGGUGGAAUUAGCGCAGGGGAAAAGAGGAGGGAGAAAGAGAGAGAGAGAGACGGGGAGGGGGGAGUGGGAGGCGAAGAAGAAGAAGAAGAAGAGAAUGGGGGCGGCGGCGGAGCCGGCGCCGGCGCCGGGGGAGGAGGUGGCGGCGGAGAUGGGCGGAGGCGGCGGAGGGGGGAGUUUGGAGAGGAUUCUGGUGUCGGUGCGGCUGCGGCCGCUCAACGCGAAGGAGAAGGAGAAGGGCGACGCCUCGGAUUGGGAGUGCAUCAACAACACCACCAUCAUCUUCAAGAACAGCCUCCCCGAUCGAUCCAUGCUCCCCGCCGCGUACACCUUCGGUGAGUGAGUCGUUUGAUCCGUUCGAAUUGGUGCAAACGAAUCGGAAUCGUGGUUGGUGCUUUGAUUGAUUGGGGGAUUUGGAAAUGGUUUCGAUUUCGGGGUUUUUUUUGUGGCAAUUUGGUUGGGAUUUUGGUGAAAUUCGUAAGCUAAUACCCUGAAUUUGAUGUUUCUCAUCGGCUUUUUUUUUUGAAUCGCGGUUGGAUUUUGGAAUAAUGGGAUGGCUCGCGAGCGUUCCAAAUUCGGGGUUCUUUUGACAAUGUGGCUAGUAUUUUGGUGAAAUUUGUAAGCUAAUCCCAUGAAUUUGAUGUUUUUUUCUCGGUUUUUAUGCAUCGCGGUUGUUUUUUUUGAACAGGAUGAUUCGAGAGCUUUUGAAGUUUGUAAGCUAAUGCCAUGAAUUUGAUGUAAUUUAUUUUGAUUUAUAUUUGUAAGCAGCUUUGAUGCAGUGAAAAGCUCUGAUUUUAUUACCCUUUUAUUUUUUUUUUAUUUUUUUUUUUUAUAAAACAGCUNCGCAACGUUUUUCUACAUUAGAUGUUUUUCAAGUAUUGUUUAGCUUUUUUGCUCAUGAUAUUUGCAAUAACUGUUAUACAAUAUACAAUCUUUAUGUUGUUGACUAUUUGCGUGCUUAUGCUCCUUCUAAUGAUUUUGAUAGUUUGAUAUUUUGUAGGCAUUUUGGUUGAUUGCAGUUUAAGUUGAUUUUUCUCUUCAUGGUUUCACAUAUUCAUUCCUUUGUUGCAUUGAUCAAAAGUCUUAUACUUUUAUGCUUCUUUCUUUUUAAAAUUUAGUUUUGCUUUUUCUGGACAGGCGUUUUUGCUUGCUUUUUUAGUUUGAUUUUUUUUUUUUUUUUUUUUUUAUAGUAGUUUUUGGGGCUUAUUAUCCUAGAUUUUUCUCCAAAAAAAAUGUUUUUUUUUUUGGUAAUAAUCUGUCUUAUUCUGCACUAAUUUCUUUUUGCUCUUCUUCGGUUAUAGAUAGAGUAUUUGGAUGCGAAUGCGCCACAAGGCAAGUUUACGAGGAAGGAGCAAAGGAAGUUGCCCUGUCGGUUGUCAGCGGAAUAAAUUGUACGUACUAUUUUCACGCUGAUCCAGCUCCCUGGUUUUGUAGUUUGAGUAAAAUGUAGUAAUUUAAUGUAGUUUUUCAUCAGCGAGCAUAUUUGCGUAUGGACAAACGAGUAGCGGAAAAACGUACACAAUGACUGGAAUAACGGAGUAUAGCGUAGCAGAUAUUUACGACUACAUACAAAAGGUAAGUUACUGUCGAUCCUAUCAGGAAAUUAAAUCAGUAACAUUGUUCAAUUUGAUUUGUUGAUUAAGUGGUUUUUUUUUUUUAUUCUCCUUUUGCAGCAUGCGGAGAGAGAAUUUAUUCUAAAAUUCUCAGCUAUGGAGAUAUACAACGAAGCCGUGAGGGAUCUUUUGAGUGCUGAUACCACUCCUCUCCGGCUUCUUGAUGAUCCAGAGGUAUAGUUCUUGCUUUUAGUGACUGUGGUCACAAUUUUUUAGCAAUUUUCAUACUUCACCUGUAUAUUUAUAUUAUCUUAUUAUUUGUUUUUUUUUCUUCCAAUUGUCAAUAGAAAGGGACUGUUGUUGACAAACUCACAGAGGAAACUCUGAGGGACCAAGAUCAUCUCAGGGAGCUCCUUGCUGUUUGCGAAGGUGAGGGAAUAAAACUGUUCAGAGUUGUAGACAUUUUAUUGCUUUUCUUUUUUUUUUCAUGUACUAAACUGAAUAGUUUGACAUCUGUCACAGCUCAAAGGCAAAAUGGAGAAACCUCCUUGAAUGAAAUGAGCUCCAGAUCUCAUCAAAUACUCAGAUUGGUUUGCUUCUUACUCAAUAAUUUAGAUUUUACCUCGAAAUUGAAUUAAAUGCCAAAGUUUUUUUUUUUUUUUUUUUUUUUUUUUUUUUUUUUUGAUUCUUCCUAUUUGCAGACAAUUGAAAGUUCUGCUCGAGAAUUCUUGGGAAAAGAUAGCUCAAGUACCCUUGCGGCCUGUGUGGUAUGAAAUUUAUUUCAUGAAUUGGUCAUGAAAUUUCUUACUUUCAAUCAAAAGGGGAUGAUGAUGAACUUUGAAUUUGUUCUUGCAAUACAGAAUUUUGUUGAUCUAGCUGGAAGUGAGCGUGCUUCUCAGGCAUUAUCAGCUGGUGUGAGGCUAAAAGAAGGUUGCCAUAUUAAUCGAAGUUUGCUUACUCUUGGAACUGUUAUUCGCAAGCUAAGGUUGUUAUGCUUCCUUUUCCUUUUGCAGCUUUUCUGUUUGCACCACUUACUGUUAAGCUUCUUGAAAUUCUUUUUUAAAACACAGUGUCGAAAUAGCAGAUAGAGUACAGUUGACAUUGUCAUCAAGCUAUCUUUCUUUCCAUGAUUUCAUAGGUUUAAUUGUUAGAAAGUCACAUUAGAGAAGGUUGUUUAAGAAUGAAAUGGUUUGGAACCUAAUCGAUUUUAAAUGCUAGGCAUGACAUUGUCAGCAAACUAGAGAAGAAGCUCAAACAGCAAGGCUUUUUUCAAGAUCUUACCUAUUGCGUCAAGUGAAAAAUGAACGGCAGAGAUAGUACAAUCGUUUCCAAAUUUUAACAGGAACACUAACUUGUGCUUACUUUGAUGCAGCAAGGGAAGAAACGGUCACAUCCCAUACCGAGAUUCGAAGCUGACACGGAUAUUACAGCCCUCGUUAGGAGGUAAUGCAAGAACAGCCAUAAUUUGCACAAUGAGCCCUGCAAGAAGUCAUAUCGAGCAAUCCAGGAACACUCUUCUAUUUGCAAGCUGUGCCAAAGAAGUAGCUACCAAUGCACAGGUUAAUGUAGUGAUGUCUGACAAGGCACUGGUAAAGCAUCUGCAAAGAGAACUCACUAGAUUAGAAAGUGAGUUGAAGUACCCUGGAUCUGCUUCUUGCACCAUUCACUCUGAGGCCUUGAGAGAGAGAGAUGCCCAAAUUAGAAAGGUAUUGAUACACGUCUAUAGGUUAAUUUCUACAUUUGUUUUUAACUUAUAUCUGCUCUCAAUUGAAGUUCUUUUGUCGUCAAUGUGCUUCUACUAUCAUGUAAUUGUAGAAUUAGAUGUAUACCUACAUGACUUAGGCAAGCUAUCAGGAAAUUUUGGUAGUCGACUAAUUACACUUAUUUUGGGGUUUGCUUGUUUAUUAUUUGUGGGCACUUACCUUCGUUUGGUUAAGUGCAUUAUGCAUGUUUUAAUCUGCUUAAAUUGGAAUUUCUCUUCCAUUUUUUUCCAGAUGGAAAAAGAAAUGAAGGAGCUGAUGCAGCAAAGAGAUCUUGUUCAGUCUCGGCUGGAGGACUUGCUCCGGUCUGUUGGGGAUGAUCACGACCGCAAUUCAAGACGAUGGGUAUUUUUUUAACAUUUUACUCUAUAUAUUUCACUCUAUAAGAUGAAUACUAUAUUCUCUUCUCUUUUUUUUCCUUCUUCUUUAGGAUGAACUUAGCCAAUCCUCGAUUUCCCAUGUACGAGACGCAUCUGAAGAUGCAUUCUCAACGUCCGAGACAUACGGCAUAGCCUACCAAGAUCAAGAUUUGGGCUCUGCAAUGUUCGAUCAUUUAAAUUCACGCAACAUCCACGAUGAACAUAACAUAGACCAUACAGAGAAUCCAAACAAGAAACAAGCGAACUCACCUACGCACUCAAUCAGCAGUUCUAGGGCUUCUGGUAAGAUUCUGUAUCAAAGACAAGAAGAUUGUGAAGACCAAUGCAAGGAAGUCCAGUGUAUUGAGAUAAACAAGUUGAGUAGGGGCAAAAGUGAAGAUUUUAACCUCUUAUUUGCUGACGAAAGCGACAGUCUGCUACCUCUUACUGAUGCAGACAAGCUUGAACAUCAUGAACAGAAGCAUUCCGUGGGCACAGAUUUGUCAAGUGAACAUGAAGAACAACAAUCCAAUACCGUAACAAAGAAUGUAGACAAUUUUGUCAAACCAACUCCUAAUGAAUCAUCUAUGGUGGAUGCAAAUGUUAGCAAGCCAAAGACUAUUGAAUCUCUGCAUAUGGAGAGCAAUAAUACGAAUUCCAAGGUGUUUGCUGUAACUAGAAGUAGAAGUUGCAGGGCAAGCUUGACGAUGACUUCUACUUGGUUCGAGGACUCAGAUCUCACUAACAAUAGGACACCACCUGAAAGUUAUUUUAGGGACUACUCAGGAAGGACUGAAGCUAUCCGGAGAAGUCUCUUUUCACCAAAUUAUAAUAAUCCAAAUGAUAGGUUCUUAUUAGAAGGAUCUCAGUCUUCUGAAAAAUUCAGCCAUGAUGAGAUGAUUAAGGCGGAGGAUAUAAGCACUAAUUCUGUUCAUUCAAAGAUAGACGCCAACUCUGAAGAAGGUGUUAGCAUUGUUGGUAGCUAUGUUGAAGGUCAAAAGGAGAUGAGCGAAAAUCAGUACCUGAAACAACUCCCUGAUGACCAGGUUUGAAUAACGUUCACUACAUGGAAGUUUUGGUUUUUUGUGCAUUCGUUUAUUUUUCUUUGCAUCUUUUUACGACUUUGUAAAGCUUGUCGUACCAAAAUGCAACUACGCUACAUCUUUGUUGAUAAACCAUGUUGUACUGUUAAAGUUGGUUUAUACAUAAACUUGGAAAAUUGAGAAAACCCCCACUACAGCUGGAAGGCUCCAUAAAUAGUAAGUAUAUACUUUUGGAAAUGAAGUUAGAUGACGAAGUGACUUUGCUAGUUUAUAGGGCAGACCGCUAAACUGUAGAAAUCUUACAAGAGCUUAUGCUUGUAUUGCUUUAGGACCAUAAGUAAUUACUUAUCUGUUAUUGCUACGAUGCUAGAUAAUUUAUCACUUUGGAUGAUUUGGUUUGAUUUUCGUAAUUUGGCAUCUGUUUUGGAAUUACUACAUUCUAGUUCAAUUGAUCACAUACACUGUUAUGCUCUUUCCCUUGCCUUAUUUUAAUGCAUCCUGGUACCGCUUGUUACCAACCUAACUUUUGUGUAUUGUGCAAUUUUAGUAUUCACGCCGCACUACCCCCAGCGAGGACUUUGGAGUAGAGAUAACUGUGAAGGACGUUGGUGUGGACCCAGUGUUAAGCUCUUUGUCUGAAUCGCCAUCACGAUGUCUCAUGGAAUUCGAGAGAAAGCAGCAGGAGAUAAUUGACCUUUGGCAUGCGUGCAAUGUCUCCUUAGUCCACAGGACUUAUUUUUUUCUACUUUUCAAGGGAGACCCCUCAGACUCGAUAUACUUGGAAGUUGAGCACAGGAGGCUGUCCUUCUUGAGGAACUCCUUUUCAUCUGACCUCGCGAAACAAGCAGCAGAGGGCGAACUCAAUGGUGUUGUUGCAUCAAGGUGCAAUCUCACAUUCGUUUACUUUUCAUUACUCUUCUUUUACGAAAAUUAUAGUUGCUCCAGUUUUACACAUAAUGAUGUAAGCAAUGGACUAGACCAAGUGUUCGAAUAAAAGAUUCGAACUAAAAAAAGUUAUUUUUAUUUUAGAUGAAUCUUAUAUAUUUGAGUUUAGUAUUGAAAUAUUAGAACUUGCAAAAGUAGCAUCGACAGAGGGUUUCAUCUUUUCAGAGAAAAGCAUUUGACAGAGUAGUAAUCUGCAUAUACGCAGAAAAUUUCGAUUAACGGGUUCCUAAUUUAUCGGAACGUUGAAUUUAUUUAUUUUUUCUACAAAACGACUGUAAUUAAAGUUUGAGGUGGGCUCAUGGUGUUCACCGAUUGUUCAUUUACCCAUUUUUUAUUGGCAGCCUGAAAAAUCUUCGUCGUGAGAGGGAGAUGCUGUACAGGCAGAUGCUAAAGAAGUUGCCUGAAAAGGAAAGAGAGAGCCUUUACAACAAGUGGGGUGUUGCAUUGAACUCAAAACAAAGAAGAUUACAGUUGGCCCGCCGCGUAUGGACUAAAACCGACAUGGAGCAUGUGCGAGAAAGUGCUUCGCUUGUGGCCAGGCUUAUCGGUCUCUUAGAACCGGGGCAAGCCCUAAAGGAGAUGUUCGGAUUAAGCUUCACACUCGCACCGCAGUUAACUAACAGAAGAUCAUUGAGCUGGAAACCAGGGAUGUCUUUCACUUAAAAAUGAACGAAGAUUUGGAUAGUCACUAUUCUCCUUUGGCUUGACUAAUCGACUAUUUUUUAAAGUUCCCAGUGUUUGAUUUAUGUGAUUCUUUUGAGUGUGUCAUUGUUUUAUAGGGUGGGUGGCUUGUAAAUUCGAAGUGAUUAACCAAAUUAUACCAAUGUACUGUGUAUUGUGUGUUUGUAUGUGUACACUUGAAUGAAUAAAAAGCCAGCAUGGCUAUUUGUUGCUUUAGUAAAACAUGGUGAAUGAAUUUUAAGUAUGUUCUUUCCUAUAAUGUAGUGGCCUUUAUUUUUUCUUUCAUUAAAAUUGAUAAUGCUUCCUCUUUCUGAGGCAAUUUGUUGCAAGAAAUGUGGCAUGAUUUGUGAAAACCUGAGUUAUUAAGAUGGUUCUUGCUAUUUUCCCAAGCCUCAUACCUUUCCAAAAAGAAAAGAAAAGAAAAGAAAACAAAAGAAAAGAAAAGAAAAAGAAAAAGAGAAAGAAAUCCUUUACCAGAACAAGAAACUUUAAUAUUGGAUCCAAGAUCUUCUAGGUUCCCCAAUCUUUUGCUUUUGCGAGUACAGAAGUUGUUCUAAAGUGCAAACACUUAAAUCUUAUUUUUCCUUCGGGUAAUUAUUUGAGACUUUGCUUCUAGUAAUAUGCGAAAAUCGAAUCCUCAGCAUUCAGAGAAAAAAGAAAGGAAAAGAAAAGAAAAGAAAAAAGAAAGGUAUCACUUUUUUCUUAUAUAUAUAAAUAUUGUGGUCGUAUAGAGGUUUCGAAAUCAUAUUAGCCAGAAGAUCAAUCUUACACAAAAGUACCAAAAUGCCUCGAAAAGAAUUUCUAUUAUUUAUCCAUUGUUACAGUUCAGGACUUAACAUUUCUCUCCAAAACCUUAGAUUUGGCAACCUUUUAAUAUACUUUUAUCGCAUUCUUUUCAUAUAAAAACAAUAGUAAUCUGACUUAGUUACUCUCAGAUUUCCUCUUAGCACUGAAGCAAUAGAUCUGACUACAUCAACUGUCCAUAUUUUAAGUAUUAAAUUUUUGAAUAUAUUAUCUAGUUAUUUUCGGUCAACGGUUUCACAAUUUUUUAAAAUACCAUCCAUGUAUUGAUUGUUUCAGAAUUUAUCAGUAAAAGAAAAUAAAUAAAAAAAAACCUACAAUCUGUGAAGAUUAUUCAAACAUCAGCUGACACUCUGACUAGUAUCUGAAACAACAUGCAGCCCCUCUUUUGAAGACAUCUAAUCUUCAUUUGAAUAAUUGAAAGGGAAAAAAAAAGAAGAAAAAAAGAGAGCAUAUUUCAGUGUAAAGAUUAUAGUGAGAAGGCAAAAAAAAAAAGAAAAGAAAAAUUUGAGCAUAGUUUGGUAUAAAAAUUAUAUUUAUCAAUUUGCUAUAAUAUGCAGUGCACGUUCUUAUUGUUCUAUUGCCUCAAAGAAUGAAUUCAUUCAAUAAGGCAUGAUUUGUAAAGUGUAUUUUCAUUUUCUGGUGUUUUGAUGCACUAGAUGAUAAUUUUCAAAAAUCAAGAAAUUCGAUUUACAGAGACUUCAAAUACUUUAAAUUAUGUCAGAUGGUACCGAUUGUUGAUUGGAAAUUCCACUUAUUGGGUGUUUAGUUGUGCGCAAAACUAUGAAAAUAGUUUUAUGUGGAAAAAAAAUUUCGUAGAAAAAAAGAUUUAUGUUUUGUAGUAUUUGGUUUGUAGUAACAAAAAAAAUAGAUUUUCAUCAAUAUUUUUUUUAGAUCCGUAGAAAAAAAAUGAAUGAAAAAAAUUUUACGCAGUUUGAGUUUUUGUUUGCCGUCGAAAAUCGGCGGAAAAAAAGCACUCUAUUUUUCUUAAAUCUAUAAAAAUAAUGUUUCAAUUUUUUUUUAUUUUACAGCUAAAAAAAAUUUCAAUCCGAAAAGUCAUUUCGAUACAUUUCAAGGCCACCCUCAGUGAAAACGAUGUGAUAGACAAAAACCUCCUUGUUAUCAAUAGAAUAGUAGCUGAAUUCAUAUUAUAUACAUCAGAAGUUUUGAGCGCAAAUUUUGUUAGAUUCUUUACUUCUAUUUAAUGUUCUAUUAAAAUUCAAAUCCAUGUCUUGCUCUAACGUAGUGUUUUUCAUCUGAAUUAGAAUACAUAAGAUUUUUAUUCUCCAAAGCAGUGUCCUUUUAUUAUAAUAAUUCUCUAUGUUUACUACCAUACUGAGAUCAAAGACUCCAAUUUGAGGGUUGGCGUAAUUCGCAGGUAUAAUUCAUGGGUGGAACUCAAAAGUUUCGUCAAACUAACCACAUCAUUCGUUGGACACAACUUUAAGUGCACGUUUGGUUCAGAAGAGGAAUCGAAAUCAAAAUAUGGAUGAAAAUGGAUCGGAAGAAUAAAAAACACAAUGAUAUAAAAAAUAAUUUAUUUGGUUCAUAAGAGGAAUCGAAAUUAGAAUCAUAAUCAAAUUUAAAUUAAAAAAAUUACAUUUUUGUUAAAAUUUAAAUUUGUUAUUCAAAUUUUUAAUUAAAAUUUGAAUCUAAAUUUGAACUUACAAUUUGAAGUUAAAAUUUGAAUUUAACAAAUCAAAUUUAGAAUUCAUUUCUUUCAUUUACUCUUUGCUACUAAUUUGGAUCCUAACAUAUAACUUUAGAAUUCAUUUCCGAGGCUAGCAGGGUAUGAAGAUCAACAGAGAGAAGUCAGAACUUUACUAUCUAGGCCAAAAGGCUGGUAAAGGAGUUAGAUUGGCAAACAUUCUUGAGUGUAGAACGGGAGCAUUUCCGACCAAUUAUCUGGGAUUACCCCUAUCUCCCAGACCACCUUCCAAGGAGGCAUGGAGGGGGAUUAUUCAAAAGUUUCAUCAUAAAAUCGGAGGCUGGCAAGCUAAACUUCUAUCUAGGGGGGGCAGACUCAUUUUGGUUAACGCGGUCCUCACAAACAUACCCCUUUUCUCCCUAGCAGUAUUCAAGGCUCCAAGGUGGGUGAUUAAGCGCAUCGAAGCACUUAGGAGAGACUUUUUCUGGAACGGCGGGCGCAAUCCCCCCGGUAAGGGCUGCUUGGUGGCAUGGAAAAAUGUCUGUAGAAGUAAGAAGGAAGGUGGACUGGGCAUCCUAGAUGUAGCAUCCAUGAAUCUAGCCUUACUGACAAAGUGGUGGUGGAAAUUUCACACGGCUCCAGAUCUGCAAUGGAAUAAGCUAAUUCGUGUGCUGUACUAUCGAAGGAGAAUACCUUUGAGAGAAGGCAAAUCUUUCAGACCCUACUCAAACUGGUGGAAGGGGGUUCUAGGGCUCAAUACGAUUUUCAAAUGGGGAACGGCAUACAAGCUGGGUAACGGGCAUUCUAUAGACUUUUGGUCGGAUAGGUGGAGUGGGGAGAAAACGCUGAAUCUUACUUUUCCGGAGGCCUAUCAGGCGGCGGUGUGCAAAAACCUUAAGGUUAGCGAAUGUUUCACGAGGGGGGCUUGGAACUGGACCAGGAUUCUAGGAACCGAUGUUGGACAAGUGCAAGGGCACGUACCCAACCUAACGGAGCUUGUACAAAGGAUUUCUGCCUUCAUCAUCGACCAGAGACCGGACACGAUCCAAUGGCGAUGGAACACUGAUGGUCAGUUUUCGGUAAAAUCGGCCUAUUCGGCACUGACGGACGGGGGGGUGAGAGAUGCAUGCGUUUCCAAGAUCUGGGAACUGAAAAUUCCUUUAAAGUUUAAAGUGUUCGGCUGGUUAGUGCUCAAGAAAAGAACUCUGACUCGUGAUAUACUUGUCAAGAGAGGGAUUUCAAACGAUCCUACCUGUGUCCUAUGUGGAACGCAUGAGGAAACUGUGGACCAUCUGUUCUGUCGAUGUGUGUUCAGCAAAUUUAUCAUUGUAACAGGGGUGGACGAUAUUCGGGCACAGGAUCUGGGAGACGAAGUGGAACUAGUUUGGGAAAGAUGGUCGGAUAGAAAGGAUCGGAGCAUGAAGAGAACUAGACUCACUAAUCUCGUCGGCUGCUGGUGGACUAUCUGGAAGGUAAGGAAUGAUUUGUUGUUUAGGAAUAGACUACCGAACCCCGGANNNNNNNNNNNNNNNNNNNNNNNNNCAAUACUCAACUACAAGCCCGACAGGAAGAUCGAGAAAGCGAAGAUUAAAGAGAUCUCCAGUUGCUGAGGUAUUCUGCCGGCUAAAUUCACAAAGAGAGAUCAAGAUGCGUCAGAUUAUUAAAUGAACGGAUGAAUUCCGGACGGUGCUUCCGGCGAAAUAGUUCCCGCUAAGAUCGAGGGGAACUAGAUGUGUAAAACAUCACAGAAGGAUCGAUCUCACCGCGCAGCUCAUAAAGCGACGAGUUCAUGUAGUCUUGAUCCAUGUAGUUGUUUCGAAGGUUGAGCUUCACGGCGUGGCCGGUGUUGUCGUCGCAGGCUACUCCGUUCAACUGCAGCAGUCCCGACCUGCCCAUAGACAAGCGGUUGCGGCGUCAGAUAGCCGCUUUGAAGGCGAGGAAGCGCCUUCCUUUCGGUCUCGAAGCAUGCGCUUGUUGGGAUGGCUUGAUGAUAGCUAAACACAGAGUGGAGACAAGUAGGUAAGGUGCAUGGUUGCAGUGGUGCUGAUCCUCGUUUACUUUCUCUCUCUGUCUCUUCUCUAUCUUUUUGUCCUUGCUUAAGCAUAGUUACUAAUAGUAAUAUUUUCCUUAAAACUUUACAAAUAUCUUAUUUACUUUGAGACAAAUACCUAUGCGAUUUUAAAAAAUCUCUUCAAAUAUCUCAUUUCUCAAGGAAAUACCUAUGCUGUGGGAAUUGAGUAUUUAGAAAAAUUAUUUUAGUAAUUUCAAGAGGAUAAUUUAAAAAAUUUUGAAUAAUAGUCAAGAAGUAAAUAAGAAAAGCCCACAAACAUAUAGCUGUUUUUUUUCAAAACUAAAGCAAUAUUAAAACACAACCACAGCACAUAAAAAAAAAAAAAAAAGAAAAAAAAAGAAGAAGAAAGAAACAAAAUAAAACAAAUAUCUAUGCAAUAUCAUUUAAGCUCCUUAGAAUUUUUAGAAUUAUUUAUUUUUUUUUUGAGAGAGAAAAUAAUAUUUAUUACUUUCAUUCAUUUUUAUUUCUAAAUAAAUUAAUAAAAAUAUAAAGUAAUUACUUUUCGAACUAAAGCUGUAGGUACUAAUCAUUAAGCCUCUUUGCACUUGCGUUAGGACGGUCGGUGACAUUUUUGUAAUCUGUGAUUUAAAAUUUUGUAUGUAAGUGAACUUAGUUUUCACAUGCUAAGAUAAUAUUAACAAGAAAAAAAAGUGAAAUUUUGACUAUUAAUAAUUACAUAUUAUUAAAUUACAUGGCCAAAAAAGUCUCCGAACGAAUUAAGCUUGAAAUGUAUAACGUAUAGAGGGGGCAAAAGACUCCAGGGUGAACACAUCAACAUUGGGAGAGAGAGAAAGGAUCAAAGAGCGCGAGAGGAAACGUAGAGAGGAGGUGGCUAAGAAGUUGAACGUCGGUCACAGUAAAACUCACGAAUCAAUAAUCUAUAGAUAUCUAUAGAUUGUCCACAUUUGGGAUAAAAAUAAAUUAAAAAUUCUAUUAAAUUUAUUUCUCAAAUAUAAGCCAUUUUAAAAGCCCUAAUUUCUUUUUUUAAAAAAAUAUAGCUCAUCUUAACCUUUCAUUUGUCCAAAAUUGGUUGUUUUAGACAAAUAAAUUAAAAAUUCUAUUAAACUUAUUGACAAUUACAUCAAAUUUAGUGAUUUUAAUUGCUUUAUUUAAUAAUCUGGAUUAACUCAUAUAAAAAAUUAGAUAAUUAAAAAAAACGCCAUUAAAAUAGAGGAAAAAUGUACAGAGACCCCUCGAAGUUUGGAUUUUGGCAAGUAGGUGCUUGCAAUUUUAAUGUGGCAAUUAGAUAUUUUAUAAGCUUUUCGAAUAACAAAGUAGACAAACCUUUUUAAUUCAUAGUUUACUAAUUACACUGCCCGUUUUGAUUGUAUGUCUUGCAAUUCGAUCUUAUAAGCUUCAAAAUGCUAUAAAAAUUAUUUUUUCUUCAAAAUGCACAUUUGCAGCCAUCUCUUAGUUUGAUUUCAAAGCAAUCUUUCUGAUUUUGGUCGAUGAAGAAAAAAGGUGUUUCACUUUUUCGAGCCCGUAUAUAGAGAGAUAUAGGUUUAUAGGUAGUGAGAAUCCUUUCUCUUUAAUGGAAAAAAAAAUUAAUUAUCAAAAAAUCAUCCUGCACUUUUUUCAUAUUUCAAAUAACUUAUUAUAUAAAAAAAAUUAAACAAUAUCAACCAUCCAUUUAGACUUAGUUUGGAAUUGAAACACAUCUGACGCUAUUAGAUAAAAUGGAGUUAAGACAAAGUAUAUAGGGCUGAUAUAAUUCUGCGUUCUCCAGUGACAUCGCAAAAAAUAUAUCAUAACGAUUAUCGGCAUAUACAAAACGCAAUAAUAUAUAAAAAUAAAUAGAAUAUUUUUCAUCGUACUUUCUCACCAUACAAUAAUGCAAUCCACUCUCCGUACCAAACAGAGCUUCUAUCUCAAAUACGCCUUCAUUAGCGUAUGUUGAUAGCACACAUUUAAGGCAUAAUCCCUUCAAACGCACUUCAAGUACCAAACACUAGAGCAGCCAUGAAAAAGCGUUCAAAUAAAAAUUCCCUUCGUCCCGUAUUAGAAUUCAGUGUUUAUUAAUAUCAACUCAUCUCCACGUAUCGCCAUAAACUUCUGCAAAAGUUAAUAAAUUUAAAUUAUUGGAUCUAUUUCACGCAAGACUGAAGUAGCAAGAUUGAUGUUAUUUAAAACUUUUAUGUAGGGAUACUUGAACACGGGAAUGACUUACAGGAGAGUUUUUUGCUAUAAUAUAAGCUGAAAAAAGAUCUGACUACUUUCUGCCCAUAAUAAGAGAAAAGUAUAUGUUUUUUUUUUGAGAAAAAGUAGCACGCUACCCAUUCAUUCAACCAAGAAUGAUAAUUAGGCUACAAGGGUGGGCAGCCAGGCCCCGAAAAAAAAAAAAAAAAAAAAAAAAAAAAUGGAUAGUAAUUUUGAUCAAGUCGAGAGAAACGAUCCCACUCCUUCACUAAUAUCCUACAGCUUUGGACAGCUAGUAAGCCCCAUCUUCUCAAGGUGGACUUCAGUCUUCUGCUGGCUAAGUGGUUUAGUCAAUGGGCCUGCCACGUUAUCCGUGGAGUCUACUCUCUGCAUCUCGAUGUAUUUCUUGUCGAGGUAGUCGCGUAUAUUAUGAAACUGCCGCUCUAUAUGCUUGGACUUCUGAUGAGACCUGGGCUCCUUAGCUAAGGCUAUGGCGCCAUUGUUGUCGCAAUAGAGUGGUAUGGCAUCCGAUAACAUCACACUUAAUUUCGCGACAAACUUCAUGAAUCAGAAGACCUACAUCAAAUGCGGCGAUAUACUCUGCUUCCAUGGUAGGGUGGUUGUUUGGAACUCUUCCAAUACACAGAGCCACCAUUGCAUAAGAACACACAUCCUGACGUAGACUUUCUAUCGUCAACAUCAGACAUAAAGUUUGAAUCAGUAUAUCCUUAUACUUUCAACUCUCUUUCUCCAACGACCAAGAACAUAUUCUUAGUGCUUCUCAAGUACUUGAGUAUGUUCUUCACAGCAAUCCAGUGCUCAUCGCCUGGAUUAGAUUGAUAUCUACUUGUGACACUCACAGCAAGCUCGAUAUCAGGUCGUGUACAUAGCAUGGAGUAUAUAAGACUCCCUUAAGCUGAGGCAUAAGGGAUCUUACUCAUACGUUGAAUCUCUUCAAAUGUAUUGGGGCACAUUUUCUUAGAGAGAUAAAUUCCAUGUGUAAGAGGUAAAAGUCCUCUUUUGGAGUUUUUCAUGCCGAACCUCUUCAGCAUCUCCUCUAUAUACAUUUUCUGUGAGAGGCCCAGGAUCCUUUUAGAUCUAUCUCUAAAGACCUUUAUCCCUAAAAUAUAGGAUGCUUCUCCUAGAUCUUUUAUGGAGAAUUCUUUAGACAACCAUAUUUUAACUAAAGUCAGUAUUGGAAUGUCAUUCCCAAUUAAGAGAAUGUCAUCCACGUACAAUACGAGGAUUGUGAUAACUCUCCCACUGACCUUUUUAUAAACACAUGGUUCCUCCUCAUUCUUAACGAAAUCAAACGAUUUAAUCAUGUCAUUAAAACGAGUAUUCCAAGUCCGACAUACUUGCUUAAGUCCAUAAAUGGACCGUUGCAACUUGCAUACUUUGUGACUUUCGUCACCAGAAGUGAAACCCAGAGGCUGCUCCAUAUAGAUAUCUUCUUCAAGAUAUCCAUUUAGGAAGGCAGUUUUCACAUUCAUUUGCCAGAUCUCAUAAUCAUAGUAUGCUGUAAGGGCAAGCAGUGUUCGAAUGGAUUUAAGCAUGGCCACAGGUGAAAAGGUCUUCUGAUAGUCAAUGCCUUCGCGUUGACUAUAACCUUUCGCAACCAGCCUUGCUUUAUAGGUCUCUACCUUUCCAUCCGAACCUAUCUUUCUUUUGUAGAUCCAUUUACACCCGAUAGGUACUAUACCUUCUGGUGGGUCUACCAAAAUCCAAACCUGGUUGGAAUGCAUUGAGUCAAUUUCUGACUUCAUGGCAUCCAGCCAUUUCUCGAAAUCGAUGUCAGACAUCGCCUCGUUGUAAGUUUUGGGAUCAUUUUCAUGUUCCCUAUCUCCCAUGAGGAACAUUUCCUCUACUUCCUCUGUAACGAUACCUAAGUAUUUUUUAGUGGGAUGUGAGAUUCUACUCGACCUACGAGGUGGAGGAGGUACUACAUGUACUGGCUCAGCUUGAAUAGGUUCUGUAGGUUUGAUGACUCGUUGCUCUUCAGAGACUCUCUCUUCGAGCUCAAAUUUUCUCCCACUAGCUUCUUGAAUAAACUGUUUUUUCAAAAAAAUAGUAUGUUUGCUCACAACUACAUUGUGAUUCUCUGGGAUAUAAAAAUAGUAACCUAAAGUUUCUUUAGGGUAUCCAAUAAAACGAGCUAUCUCAGACCUACCCUCUAACAUUUUCGCCUGUAGUCGCUUAACAUAGGCCGGACACCCCCAAAUAUUGAUAUGACCAAGACUUGGUUUCUUACCAUGCCAUAUCUCAUACGGCGUGAUAGGAACGGAUUUAGAGGGAACUCUAUUUAACAAAUAAGCUGCGGUAAGCAAAAUAUGUCCCCAAAGAAAUAUAGGAAGAUCAGUGAAGCUCAUCAUGGAUCGAACCACAUCCAAUAAGGUUCGGUUUCUCCGUUCUGACACUCCGUUGAGUUGAGGUGUACCCGGAGGAGUCCACUGUGAGACUAUGUUGUUUUCUUUGAGAUAAUUUAGGAACUCUCCACUAAGAUAUUCUCCUCUUCGAUCUGAUCGAAGAACCUUGAUGGAUUUUUCAGUUUGCUUUUCUACUUCAUAUCUGAAUUCUUUGAACUUUUCAAAUGCCUCAGAUUUGUGUUUCAUAAGAUACACAUACCCAUACCGUGAAUAAUCAUCGGUAAAGAUUAUGAAGUAGAGAUAACCAUCCCUAACAUGCACAUCAAAUGACCCACACACAACAGUGUGUAUCAGGAAAAGUAUCUCAGUGGCCCUUUCCCCUUGUCCUACAAAGGAUAAUUUAGUCAAUUUUUCUUGAAGACAAGAUUCACAAACUGGAUAAGACUCUGAAGUCAAUGAGCCGAGAAGCCCAUCUUUAUCCAAUUUAUUUAUCCUUUCUUCUCCAAUAUGACCAAGCCUGAGGUGCCACAUAUACUUUAGGUUCAUCUCAUCUCUAGGUCUCUUAGACCCAACAGCAGUCUCUACUUGCUCAGAAAUAUUUGCAGAUACAUCCAUAUGUAAAUGAUAAAGACUGUCAAUCAUAAAACCACGACCAAUAAUAUUAUUUCUAAAAUAAAUUAUGCAGUAGUCUUUGUCAAAAUUAAAAUUAUAACCGUCCUGUGCUAAAGAAGAAACAGAAAUCAAAUUCCUGCUAGCAGCAGGUACAUAAUAACAGUCUUUAAGUAAUAAAACAUAUCCUGACGGUAGUCGCAAAGGAUAGGUGCCAGCAGCCACAGCAGCAACUCUUGCCCCGUUGCCCACCCGUAGGGUCACUUCACCUUCCCUAAGCCCUCUACUUUCCCUUAGACCCUGCAUUGAAGUACACAGAUGAGAACUAGAACCAGAGUCUAUAACCCAACUAGAAGUAGAGGAAACCGUAAGGUUAGUUUCUAUUACGAGCAAGUCUGACAUACCUUCCGAAGGUGUGUCCUUCCUUUUAUUCUUUAAGCUCUCCAGGUAGACAGGACAAUUUCUCUUCCAAUGACCGUCAACGUUGCAGUGGAAACAUUUUCCUUUGUCAGCGGCCUUAUUCUUAGAAGCUUCCUUCUUGGGCUUGUUUUCCGUCUUUUGUUUCUUCGCGGGUUUCUUCUUCCAAUUAGACUUUCUUUUGGAAGAGGAAGCUCGCUCCACAGCGAGAAUCGAGCCCUUUGAACUUUUCAAAGUCCCCUCUGUAGUUAUCAACAUGUUCAAUAACUCUGCGUUGGUGCAAUCAAUUUUAUUCAUAUGGUAGUUUACAAUAAACUGUCCAUAUGAUACAGGAAGGGAUUGCAGGAUCAGAUCAACUUGCAAUUCCUUGUCCAUUUUCACGCCAAGCUUCUCAAGCUCCUCGAGGUCUUUGAUCAUUGUCAAACAGUGAUCAUGAACAGACUGCCCAUCGUGCAUCUUGGCUUUAAAGAGUCUUUUGGACACUUCAAAACGAGCAGAUCGGCUUUGCUCACCAUACAACUCCUUGAGGUGAGUUAGCAUUUCCUUAGCAGUCUUCAUAUCCUCAUGUUGGCGUUGAAGUUCAUUUGACAUCGACGCCAAAAUGUAGCACCUUACUUUAUUAUCGUCAUCCGUCCAUUUUUCUUGAGCUGUCCUUUGAUCAGCUGUUGGACGGUUUGGUAACGUGGGGGGGUCCUGGUCGAGAACAUAACUGAGCUUUUCGGAACUCAAAACUAUUUUUAAGUUCCUUAGCCAAUCUUUAUAAUUAGUUCCAAUUAAACGGUUUGAUUCAAGAAUUCGAGAGAGAGGAUUGGAAGCGGACAUUUUGUUCUGCAGAGAGUAAAGAUUCAAGUUAGAUUUUUGUAUUUGUUUUGAAAAAAUUGUUUUAGGGAUUUUAAAAACAAUAAAUUUAGCCUCCCACUAUUUUCUCGAGUCUCUAACACUCCUCGGGUAGAGAAACGGAAACCCAACGCGACAAAAGGUUUCAAGUGGGUACUGCGGUCCCACCAAUUUAACGUACCACCUCACCUAACAGUUAUUGGUGAUAUGCAAACCGAUGAGUGGACAACUCUUGUCCAAUGCUUCUCAAGCAAAUUGCAGUGAUCGGUCUCUAAGUCCUGUAGGCCUCACCUGACAGUUAUUGGCCCCAUUCCUUAGUUAAGUCAGACCCACCGUUCAAACGCGUAAGCAAAGCCGUCAUUGGGUCCCUCACCUGACAGUUAUUGGGCCCAACCCCAUCUUUACUCCGCAGCAUCUCAUGCUAAUAGAGUGGUUGCGAAUUCCCGAUGCAACUGACCACUGUAACCAGCCGUGCCAAUCAACACCAGAAAAGCGCCCGCACUUCUACAACGGCGGAAGACCGCUCGACUUAAUAUUUAUGAGGAGAUUUAUUUAGGUCUCAAAAAAUAUUUUAUUUAUUUACAUCUAAUGCAAAUAAAAUAAAAAAUCAAUCCGCGCAAACAAACAUAAUUAAACUGGUGAUGAUCAUGGAUCUUAGAAGUGGAUUCGGACUCGAGCCACUGAGUCGGAAUCGGGGUCUUAGGGUCAUAAAUUACAAGCACACACACGUCAUUGGUUUGAUCGUCUUCAACUUCUUGAUCCGAUCUGGAGCUUCAACUUGAUUUGAUCCUUAUCAACACCUUGAUCCGACCGCCAUCAAGUAUUCAUCUCUAUCCGGGCCUUGCGAACUUUUAGGCUUGCAACCGAUCAACCAAUGACGUGCAACCAUACAUUAUACAACCCAAUAAUAAAAAUGAAAUAAAAAAUUAAUUACAUUUGAUAACUUUUAUCUCUAACCUAUUGAGACACGCAGGUCUCCAAAUAAAUCGGCUUGUGCACGCAGGCACAAAUAUAGCCAUCUCUAAUACAAAAUCCUUAAUUUAAACAAAUUUAAAAUUACAGGAUUCUGCAUACACAUCAUACAUCACAUGUCGAAAUAAAAAUAGGUCGCUAUCCAUGAUCAUCACCGAUAUGUAUCUCAUACAUCACAUAUAUAAUAAUAAAUUUGGAUAUUCUAAUUAACCGUUAAAAGAUGAUUCGAAAAAUAAUAGUGACUUAAUCACUAAUAACAAUCAAUCUUAUUGAUCUUUAUAAUUUUGAUCAAAAAUUUAAUCUUCAAAAAUAAUUUGAUCUCAUCAAGAUUUAAAUUUGAUCUAAUCAAAUUAGAUCCUUUUCUUUUAGUUA
rnacentral:lncRNA from 1 species